rnacentral:lncRNA from 1 species
AGGUAAGGUUUCGUCUCCUUUUUCUUUUAUUUAGGUGUAAAGAACGAAAAAGAAAAUCAAAAAGGGAAAUCGAGAGAGAAAGGAGCGUAAUAAACCCCAGAGAUUCAAAAGUAAAAGAUCACCUUGUUCUAUUUUUUGUUUUCUAUUCCUUCUGAAUGUGUGUGUAUUCUCUGUGAACGUAACCUUUACAAUGAUUACAGAUCCUGGCUUUAUAGCCAAAAAAAGAAAGAGAAAAUAAUAAAAAUAAAUAUAAAGAAUUCGACAUUUGUUCUUUGUUUUUUUCUACUCUAUGCUAUUGUUGCGUUUAUCACUUUCUUCGCAGGUACAGGUGUGCGCUCGGGUACGGGGCCGUGUGCUGGCGCGAACGUGACUGCUGGACGGUACGGAGGCCAGGGCUGAGGCUUGGCUGGUUGCGGCGCAAAGGGGAACCUUAGGGUUCCUGAGGAUUGCUUGACCUUUGGGCAAAUCGGGCUGUAUUUUGGGUCUAGGUUAAUGGGCCAUUGUAUUUGGUUUUGGGUCUAAACAAUGGGUUUGGGCUAUUGUAAUAAUUUCAGACUAAUGGACUUUUAAUAAUAUUUGUUGGUUUUUUAAUAUAUAUAUAUUUAUUUAUUUAUUGUUGUAUAUUUGGGUUUCUAGUGGGCUCGGGCAAAUUUGCCUAUUUACAGCUACCCCUCUUUGCUCAUUGUCGUGUAACGAAAAUAUAGCAAAGACUAUAAAAAGGACCAAAUUUGCCCGGUCUGGCUAAGUCUCAAAAUCUUGAUCCUCUUCUUCUCCAAAGGUAUUCUGAUGUCUUCAGGAGUGUCAAAUUGGCUAUCCUCAACUCGUUUCUUGAGAACUCAGGAAUACCCAUCUGUUAUUUCCGAUCUGCUCUUUACCAAUACAGAGAUGUCAAGUCCGUUAUCUUCGAUCUGCUCUCUGAAAAUACAGAGACGCCAAAUCUGCUAUCUUUGAUCUACUCUCCGCCAAUACAGAGACGCCAAAUCUGCUAUCUUCGAUCUGCUCUCUGCCAAUACAGAGAUGCCAAAUCUGCAAUCUUCGAUCUGCUCUCCACCAAUACAGAGAUGAUAAAUCUGCUAUCUUUGAUCUGCUCUCCGCCAAUACAGAAACGCAAAAUCUAUUAUCUUUGAUCUGCUCUCCGCCAAUACAGAGACGCCAAAUCUGCUAUCUUUGAUCUGCUCUCUGCCAAUACAGAGACGCCAAAUCUUCUAUCUUCGAUUUGUUCUCCGCCAAUACAGAGACGUCAAAUCUGCUAUCUUCGAUCUGCUCUCCGCCAAUACAGAGACGCAAAAUCUGCUGGAUUCACCAAUGUCGCUACACUGUCUUCUAAAGACAUGAUGUGUAGAAUGGGUUUCCUGUAUCUGUGUAUGCCAAAUAAUUAGGGUGCCAUGAUCUAAAUGAAUCCAAUUCCCCUGACUAUACAUGGUGUUUAUGUCAAGUAACUAAAAUGCUAUGAUCGGAAUGAACCAAGUGCUCAUAACUAAAUGAAUGAUUAUGAAUAUAGAAAUGUCAUGAGAAUGAUUCCUUUUUAAACGCUUAAGGUGUCAUUGCUCAUAAUUCGUCCGGGUUCUAUCAUUGAUGUGCUAUCGCAUCUUCCUGCUUAGCCGCUAUCUCUGACAGAAAAUUUGAAGAAAUAGUCCUAAUUUGGACUACUCUUUUUUCAAUGUUUUCCAACUUUGAACCUGGUUAGUCCUGACUAGUGGCCCUGUUUCAGGUCCUUGCACUAUUUAGAGACUUUCCAGAGUAAUAUGCAUAACAUCUUUUGUGUAAAUGUUACACGUUCAAAAAUCGCGAUUUCAACAAAAAUGCUCGAAAGAGAUUAUCAUAAUAGACCAAUGGAAUUUUAUUAAGAAAAAUUUGAUGUGAAUACAUAGGAAUACGAAUCUGAUAAGGUGAAAAAAAUGAGAAAAAGGUGCCCCAGAUAUCGCAGCACGAGUUUCACUAUUCUAAUUUCUCAAAGGCUCCUUUGAACCAAAUGUGUAUUCAGGAGAUCCUGUGUAUUUUUUUGAUGCUCCAAGGUGUACUGUUCUUCUUUCUUGUUGAUUUUGGAAGGACAAGACUACCAUAUACCCUAUAUUCAAAAUUUAAGCUGCCCGUUUUUGAGUUUUCAACUCGAAAGCCCCUUUGGUUCCAAAGUGCCCUUUGUAGGUUUUCACCUUGGCCUCUCCGUUUUUUUUUUUUUUGAUAAUCUUAGAGUGCCCUUUGCGGGUUUUCAAUCUGGCCCCUCUUCUUUUAGGUAAAAUACCUGAAUCUGAGUUUACAGGAUUGGGCAAGUUUCUAUCGUCCAUCUCGGCUAGGAUCAAUGCUCCUCCAGAGAAAGCUUUCUUCACCACGUAAGGCCCUUCCCAAUUAGGCAUCCAUUUCCCUCGAAAAUCCUUCUGUACGGGAAAGAUCUUUUUCAAAACUAGGUCUCCCUCGUGGAAUUCUCUAGGGCGAACCUUUUUGUCAUAAGCCCGCAUCAUUCGUUUUUGGUACAUCUGACCAUGACGGAUAGCUCUUAGCCUCUUUUCCUCGAUCAAGUUCAAUUGGUCAUAUCGAGACUGGACCCACUCUGCUUCAUCCAAUUUUAGUUUCGAAAACACUCGGAGGAUGGAAUCUCAACUUCGAUCGACAACAUCGCUUCCAUUCCGUAGACCAAAGAGAAAGGGGUAGCCUCGGUUGAGGUUCUGACUGACGUUCGAUAAGCAAAGAGGGCAAACGGUGAUUUUUCAUGCCAAUCUUUGUAGGUCUCGGUCAUCUUCCCCACAAUCUUCUUAAUGUUUUUAUUGGCUGCUUCCACUGCCCCAUUCAUCUUCAGGCGAUACGGUGACGAGUUGUGAUGUCUGAUCUUAAAUUGACUGCAGACCUCCGCUAUCGUACUGUUGUUCAAGGUUAAUGCAUUGUCAGAUAUGAUCCUCUCCGGCAUUCCAUAUCGACAUAUGAUCUCAUUUUUCAGAAACUUACUCACUGCCGAUUUUGUCACACUAGCAUACGAAGCGGCUUCUACCCAUUUGGUGAAAUAGUCGAUAACCACAAAGAUGAACCGAUGCCCAUUGGAAGCUUUCGGUGAUAUUGGUCCAAUCACAUCCAUGCCCCACAUAGAGAAUGGCCAUGGAGAAACCAUGACAUGCAGCUGUAAAGGAGGCACAUGAAUUUUGUCUCCGUAGAUUUGGCACUUAUGGCAUCUCUUAGCGUAGUUGACACAGUCUCAUUCCAUGGUGGACCAAUAGUACCCGAAUCUCAUAAUUUGCCUGGCCAUUGUAAAGCCAUUAGCAUGUGUCCCACAGACGCCUUCAUGGACUUCUUCGAAGAUUGUCUUAGCCUCUGCAGCGUCUACACAUCUUAGUAGCACUUGAUCCUUUCUUCUUUUGUAUAAGAUAUCCCCAUCUAAGACAUAGUCGAUGGCCAAUCUUCUUAGCAUUCUUUUGUCAUUCUCGCUUGCCUGGUCCGGGUAUUCACGAUUCUUCACGUAUUGCAAUAUAUCGUGAUACCAACGGUGAUCAUCUUUCUCCUUGUCUUCUUCAAUAUUGUAACAGUAGGCCGAAACUUCAUAAAUGCUCAUUCGGAUGGGUCUGACAUCUUCUUGUUUGUUCACCUUGAUCAUGGAGGCUAGGGUAGCCAAAGCAUCAGCCAUCUGAUUUUCAUCUCGUAGAAGGUAGUGGAAGGUAAUGUCAUCAAACUCUUUAACCAAUUCUAGGACCAGCUUCUGAUAAUCGAUUAACUUGGGGUCUCUGGUCUCCCAUUCUCCCCUGAGUUGAUAAAUCACUAGCGUAGAAUCCCCAUACACCUCUAGCACUUUAAUCUUGCAUUCUAUGGCUGCGCGGAUACCCAUGAUGCACGCUUCAUAUUCCGCCAUAUUAUUUGUACAAUCAAAAUCCAAUUUACUAGUGAAUGGAUAAUGAUCUCCAUUUGGGGAUACCAAGACGGCCCCGAUUCCAUUGCCCACAGCAUUUGACGCCCCAUCGAAGUUCAGUUUCCAAGGAAGUUCAUCCAGAGCAUCUUCUUCAGUGGUAGCAAUACACAUUAGGUCUUCAUUCGGAAAGUCAAAGUUCAGAGGCUCGUAGUCUUCCAAAGCUCUACUGGCUAGAAAAUCUGCUAUUGCACUUCCUUUUACUGCUUUCUGGUUCACAUAGACUAUGUCGAAUUCAGAAAGUAGAAUCUGCCAUCGGGCCAUCCUUCCAUUCAAGGCUGUUGACUCCAUCAUGUACUUUAAAGGGUCCAAUUUUGAUAUGAGCCAAGUGGUGUGAUACAACAUAUACUGCCUCAGCCUUCGGGUUGUCCAAAUUAGGGCACAACACAACUUCUCUAUCGGCGGGUACCUCAUCUCACAUUCUAUGAACUUUUUACUAAGAUAGUAAAUGGCCUUCUCUUUCCUUCCUGACUCAUCAUGCUGACCCAAUACGCAUCCCAUGGAGUUUCCGAAUACUUCCAAAUACAAUAUCAACGGCUUAUCGGGGUUAGGUGGCAUCAGCACCGGGGCGUUGGAUAAGUACUGUUUGACCUUGUCGAAAGCCCUUUGGCAUUCUUCAUCCCAUUCACCUGGGUUAUGUUUCUUGAAGAGUCGAAAGACAGGGUCACAUUUCUCGGUCAGUUGUGAAAUGAACCGAGCAAUGUAAUUUAACCUUCUUAGAAAACCUCGAACCUCUUUUUGAGUGGGCGGCAGAGAUAGCUCUUGUAUGGCUUUAACCUUGUCUGGAUCAAUUUCGAUCCCUUUCUCACUAACCACGAAUCCAAGCAACUUUCCAGACUUGGAUCCAAAGGUACAUUUGGCGGGGUUGAGUUUUAGCUGAAACUUCCUCAACCUCAAGAACAAUUUCUUCAGGACUUGUAUGUGCUCCUUCUCUAUUCGAGAUUUAGCGAUCAUAUCAUCGACAUAAACCUCAAUCUCUUUAUGCAUCAUGUCGUGAAAAAGGGUGACCAUGGCUCUUUGAUAAGUUGCCCCCGAAUUCUUUAGUCCCAACGGCAUCACCUUGUAGCAAAACGUGCCCCACAUGGUUACAAAUGUGGUCUUCUCUAUAUCUUCUGGAUGCACCUUGAUCUGGUUGUAUCCAGAGAAACCGUCCAUCAAUGAAAAUAGUGAGUGCCCCGCCGUGUUGUUUACUAGGGUGUCGAUAUGAGGCAGUGGGAAAUUAUCUUUCGGGCUGGCUUUAUUCAAAUCUCUGUAGUCCACACACAUUCUCACUUUUCCAUCUUUCUUAGGGACGGGGACGAUGUUGGCUACCCAAUCUGAGUAUUUUACUACCUUUAGGAAUCCAGCGUCGAACUGCUUUCGAACCUCUUCUUUUAUUUUUAGCAAAACAUCGGGCCUCAUUCUUCGGAGUUUUUGCUGAAUUGGCUUACAUUCUUCCUUUAUGGGAAGCCGGUGUACCACGAUGUCAGUGUCCAACUCGGGCAUAUCUUGGUAUGACCAUGCAAAGACGUUUUUGAAUUCUCAAAGUAAUUCAAUGAGGUCUCGCUUCAUUUCUGUAGUGAUACAUGUUCCGAUCUUCACCUCUUGUCCUUCUCCUAAGCUCACAAUUUCAACUGAUUCUUUAUGAGGUAGGAUUUGUUUCUCGUCUUGUUCUACCAUCCUCAACAAAUCAGGAGAUAGGUUACAGCCUUGGUCAUCUUCAAAAUCUUGAGAAUCAUCCAUACACACAUCUUGCUCGAAAGGAAAUUCUGAGUUGCUAACAGUGUCACUCGUAUCAUUAAUAUCUGGGGACCUGUUAUGAGGAUGAAAGCAGAUACAAAGAAUCAAAAGAAUUCAAAACAUUUAUUUGCGUGGUAUGAUUAUGAAUGACGAAUGAAAGAAUAUUUAGAAGAAUGUUUCAAGGAUGAAAGAAUCCAAAAGUAAUCAUUUGUAUGGUUAUGAAUGAAACUGAGAGGACGAGAGAACAUUUGCUCAAAAAUGAUAAUAACCGUGUAUUUUAUUGAAACAACGUUUUUAAACAUCAGCAUAUUUCACAAAAGAUCCUUAUCACUCCUAGGUCUAGAGUAAUAAGUGUGUUUUGGACAUUACUCUGAAUUCGUUCUAAAAACUAAAGGGAUCUCUUCCGCUGUCCAGUUGUCUAGAACACUUCCAGGUGUGUAGGGGAAAAUGCCCGACAAGUUUUCUCUUUCAGUCUCCUCUUCGUACAGACGUUGAUGUCCAAGCUUUCCAGCCUUUCUUCUAUAACUCCUGUCAUUGGCGUAUCUCUCUCGGGAUGAAUGAUUCCCCCGGACACAAAUGUUUCCAAUAUAUGAGGGAAUAUCAUUGGUUCCCACUUGAUCUCCUCCCUCGUUAACUGAGCUCUCCUUCUUUCUUGCUUCUUUUCCAGCUCUUUUCUCCUUUGUUUCGUAUUCGGCUUAAAUUCUAAGCCGAAGCGGUCUCUCUUUUCCUUCAGCAUUGGCGUUUCAACCCUUCCUUGCAGAUAUCUCGCAAGUCCCCUUCCGAGUAGGGCCCAUUUUCCAAUCGUCAACUGGAGGCUCAUCCUCGUGGUUUUGGAUAAUUUCGGCACCAGAAUUUUGCUUCCCUCAGCGAUGAACAUCGCAUUAACAAAUUCCAAAGAUCGAAAUGGGCAUUCGAUUGCUUCGUCAUCUGUCUCCAAAUAUGGUGUAUUAUUGCUCACAGUUGCAAUAAUAUCUUCUUCAGCCUUAAUCGUUAUCAACCUCCCCUCCGAUACCAGCUUCAAUUUUUGAUGCAACGAGGAAGGCACUGCCCCAGCUGAAUGUAUCCACGGCCUCCCCAACAAGCAAUUGUAUGAGGGCUUGAUAUCCAUUACGAGGAAAUCCACCUCAUACGUGUUUGGCCCAAUCUGAAGAGGUACCUCGAUUCUGCCCAUCACCUUUCUCUCCGUGCGAUCGAAUGCCUUCACGAUGCUCUGGCACUCCUUCAUCUGAGAGCUGUCUAUAGGUAAUCUGUUCAGCGUGGUCAAUGGCAGGAUGUUCAAAGCCGAUCCAUUGUCAAUCAAUACGCCUGGCAACGUAUACCCUUUACAGCGUGUGGUGAUAUGCAGGGCUUUAGUCGACCCCAUGCCCCCGGGUGGUAUCUCGUCGUCAUUAAAAAAGAUAUAAUUGUCGGCACUUAUGUUGCUCACCAAACAGUCCAACUUGUUAACGGAGAUAUCGUUGGCAACAUAUGUCUCGUUUAAGACCUUUAUUAGCGCGCUACGAUGAACUUCCGAGCUUAGAAGCAAGGCCAGCACCGAGAUACGGGCUGGUUAUUUACGCAGCUGUUCUACCACACUAUAUUCGCUAUGCUUUAGGAAUUUUAAAAAACUCCUUGGCCUCCUCUUCGUUAACUGGCUCGUUAACAGGUUUUGCUACUUUUCCCUUUAUUUCCUCGACCACCUGCGCUUUUCCUUUUGUGGGUUGUGCCUCCUCAUUCGCCGUAUCGUAAACGUGUAUAAGAACCCCUGUCUUGAUCCCCUCUUGAAGCGUCAAUCGGGCUCUCCUUUCCCGGUAUCGUUACACUGCAAUCAUAAUUCCAUGGGACCUUUUUACUGUCUUUGUAAGGGAAGACUGCAGGUCUUUGGAUUAUGACCCUCGGUGGCAUGUGAACUCCAGCUUCAUUAUUUUUGGGUCUCGAUAUGAUCACCAUGGGAUAGUUAGGUGCUUGAUUCUGCUCCUUUGAUUCUCCCUCGGAUGCUCAUAUAUCUCCCUCUACGAGGGUUUUAGCAUCUUCAUAGAAUUCCAUUUCUUUAUUAUCCAUCAUGUUCUGCACGAGGGCCCUGAAGUCCACACAUUCUUGGAUUUCAUGCCACACCUCAUUGUGGAACCUGCAGUAGUUCCUCUCUUCUUUGGAUUCUCUCCUCAAAUCCAACGCGAUCAAACCUCUCUUGACUAUCUCCUUCCAUACUCGCCUCAACGGAGUCCUGACUUCCGCAACCUCAUACUUGGUCUUCUUGUUCAAGCCUUCACAUAUCCCAUUCACUCAUUGGUCGGUAUGACUAGGGAGUGGGUUUCCUGCUACAUUGGGCGUGGCUGGGUCAUCAAACCUCACGAUCCCCAUCUUAAUGAGUCUUUCGACUAAUUUCUUAAACGCAGCGCAGUUUUCGUUAGAGUGCCUGGUGAUUCCCGCUUGGUAUUCACAUUGGGCAUCUGUAUCAUACCAUUUGGGAUAUGGGGGCUGCAAUGGCUUAAGGUAGAAAGGGGACACCACAUGAGCGUUGAACAGGUUCUGGUACAACUCCCUAUACGUCAUGGGUAUAGGGGUGAAUUGUGGUCUUUCUGUGUUCUCCCUUGCGUUGGAUUCUUGUCUUACAGAGCUUUACUGAUUGGUGGUCACCAUCUUGGGUUGAUUUACAGUGAAUGACUUGGACUGACCUUUGUUAGAUGUACUCGUGUUGUUCACUUCAUUGUUUCUUUUCCUCGGGGCUGACUUCCUGGUACUUUCUCCGGCUUCUAUCUUACUGCUUCUCACGGCAUUUUCGAUCAUUUCCCCUAUUAUCACUAUGUCGGAGAAGCUCUUGGUGGCGCUUCCCAACAUAUGAAUGAUAAAAGGGGCUUUCAAGGUGUUAAUAAAGAGCAUUGUCGUCUCUUUUUCUAGAAGUGGCGGCUGAACUUGUAUGGCCACUUCUCUCCACCUUUGUGCGUACUGUCUGAAGCUUUCAUUUGGCUUUUUCUCCAUAUUCUGGAGAGUGAUUCUGUCAGGGGACAUGUCCAUCACAUGACUGUAUUGCUUCAUAAAGGCCUGGGCCAGGUCCUUCCAUGAGUUAAUUUUAGCUCGGCUUAAUUGGUUGUACCACUUAGACGCCACCCUGACCAGACUAUCUUGAAAGCAGUGGAUUAAUAGCUAGUCAUUGUUAACAUAUCUCGUCAUUCACCUGCAAAACAUAGUGAUGUGGGCUUCAGGGCAGCUCAUUCCAUUGUAUUUCUCGAAUUCGGGCAUUUUGAAUUUAGGGGGAAAGACUAAGUCUGGAACUAGACUCAGGUCUUUGGCAUCAAUCCCUUGAUGAUGAUCCGCGCUUUCCCUGGCUUUGAAUUUCUCCUCGAGCCAUCUACACCGUUCUUCCAAUUGUUUUUGCAAAUCUAUCCUCGCCUUUUCUUCGUCGGCAACUUCAUCCAAAUCGGGAACGGAUGGAUAGUUCAGGUUGUUGACAAGGUUAGAGCCUGAGCCGGUUUGGAAAUUCCUCCGUAUUGAAGCUCCAGCCUGAACCUGCUGGGGCAUGAUCGUGACAGAUGGUUUCAGUAAAUUAAUCUCAGGAUUCAUCGGUACAUGUGUUGGAGUGAAGCCAGGAGGUGUUGGAGAUCUUCAUUAGUUUCCUCAACUUGGUCCAUGAGGCCCUUUCCCUUAUCCAUUCCUCCCGACAGCAAUUUGGAUAACUGGGACAUCAUUUCUCUCUGGGACUCCAUCAUUUGCUCCUUCAUCUCUCGCUGAAUCUUGGCUAGUUGCUCUUGCAUCUGAGACUGCAUUUGUUCUUGCAUGUCUUUUUGCAUCUGCUCCAAUUUCUCGAGUCACUUAUCCAUUGAUUUUUUUCUUGUAUCGUAGGGGUGCGUGGUUGGUUGGUUUUCGUUGGUUUCCAGGUUACUGAAAUAAUUUUUAGUUAAUUAAUUAGAAAACUCUUAUGGCCUUUAAUGCAUAAUGAUAUGAUGUAAUGCAAAUGCAUGAAUGCAAAUGAGGCAUCAAUUUUGAUUCAACUGCCCUUAGAAAAUUUCACUUUAAAAUAAAAUCUUUUACAAAAAAUCGAGUUACAAAUAAAAUUUCGCUCUAACACUUAAAGUUCUAAUUUUUCUAAGCAACGAGGCCAGCUCUUGUCCGUGCUCUGACUCCAACUCAUAUUUCACGCUCAGUGUGGCCGCCUGAACCGCUAAAAUUUGCAAGUAGUCUGCUACCUCCUGAAUCUGGGUUAUGGCUUCCCCUAUAAGGUAAUCUCUGUUUCUGACUUGGUCUUGCGCAUGGUGAAGCUGCCCUUUCCAACGAUCCUCAUUUGCCUCGAAAAACUGGAUCUGUAUCUCAUAGUUUUGCAGUGACUCCUCUAACUCUUCUAUUCUUCCUUUCAUUUCUUUUAUCUUGCUCAAGAUCGCCCUCAAUUCUAAUGCGGUGUUGCAGUUUCGGUAUUGAUGUAGAGACUUCUUGAGUUCUGCCACUCUAGCCCUUAAUUCCCCUUGCUCAUUUCUACUUUCCGACAGACUUUUCUCCAAAUCUUUGUUUCGUGCCUGAGCUUCUCGGAAUUUCCUUUCCCACCGGUCGGUAUUAGCCUUUUCUUCUCGAAUUUCAUGGCGCCAUUGUUCGGAAGUGUUACCUAAACCCGCAGUCCUCAUAGAUAGGCGCAGCUUCUUGUAGUCCGUCUUCAAGCUAUCUAGAUCCUCUUCGGCCUUAGUUUUUCCUUUUCGCUACUUCUCAGCCUCUGACCCCUGAACAUCAGCGUCUAAUCUCAGGUGCAUCUUUUCUUCCUCCAAUUGUUCGAUCUUCUUCCCAAGCUCCAGACUCUUCUUCUCGAAAUCUGCCUUAUAAUCUCCAAUUCUGAUGGGGCGACUUGUAAUUGUUCCCUGAUAGGUUGAGCAUUCUCCAAGUUUGGCCUAGGAAUAUUAUCAUUAAUCCUCUUCUUAAACCACUCGCUGUACUCGGGUGUUACUAUGGAACCGACGGCUAACCUCUUCAUCCAACAAGUCUGCUUCCAAGCAUCUGAUAAUUCCUGAACUCUCUUCUUAUAAUGGGCACCUUUAAACGAGAAUUCACUCUGAGCAAGCCCAUAGGUCGUGGGUACAAACUGCCUCAACUUAUAUUGCCUCAAGGCUAUCAAUGGAAUAUACCCGGUAGCUCCCCAAAUUCCUAACAACUGCACCCAAUCGAAGUUACCACAUCGGUACAUGAUCUCGUCAAGAACCAUCUAAUAAGCUCUCCACUCGAUAUCCCCCUCCUUGAGGUUCUGAAAAAUGUCCAUCCACUUCUCCUCCGAGAUAUCCUCUCUCCUCUAUAUAGCUGCCUCUUCUUUCAACGGGGAAUAACCCUCGGAAAAGACUCGAUAAGAAACUUUGUCUACCUUCCAAAAGUGCCCGUGAAACCAUGCCAUCAACAACUGUGCACAUCCAAUAAACCGCCCCUCGCCUAUCUUCCGACAUGAGCUCAAAGAUCUGAACAUUUCUGCCAAUAUCGUCGGUACCGGUGUGAUUCCCAUUUCAAGACGAUCGAACAAGUCAAUGAUCGCUUCGUCCACGUGCCUCAAAGCCUUAGGAAAAAUCACUAAUCCGUAGAUGCUUAAGGCAAAUAUGUCGACCCUCUUUCUUUCAUCUGGAUGAGUCAAGAUCAAAUCUCGCAAAUUCUCCCAAGGGAUACAUUUGUUGUCUCCUUUUUGCUGAAUCCGAGCAGUGACCCAAGGCUUGCUCAUCCCAGAGAUGCUCAUCAGUUUCUUCAAGAAGGUCUGACUACUAAAAACCCGGGCAUAAGUCUUUCGGACCUAAAUUUUGGGACACCUAAGCAAAGGAUAUGUCACCAUAACCUUGGUAAAACAACUGCUUGAUCCUUUCAUCCCAACUAAUCCAAAUGUCAUUCAACUCUUGCAGCUCAUUCUGUACUACAUUGACGCGAGUGAAAUCCUGCAGCUCCGACGCAUACCCUUCUACCAAGCUAUCCCCUCUCUCAGAUUGUAGCCUCUCUGACCAUGCACGAAUGGCCGCAUUAUCCUCGACUUUACUAAGAAAUUCAUUCUCCAUGUCAAAUUUUCUAACUUAGUAAUUGAAUAUGGAUUAAUGCCUCCUUUAGUAUGCAAUGUCAUGCAAAAAAGACAAUCAAAACAAAACAUCGGUUAGUAUCAAAUAAUAGCAAUAGAAUGCAAGAACAUAAACGAUAAUUAUAAUGCAUAUACGGGUAAGUACUAAGGCUCGACGCAGCUUCACCCAAGGAUAGCUCCUAAGGUUCACUAUAUGUGGUUUAGUUCUAGGAAAGGGGGUACCCAAACCAACAGAUUCCUCAAUCCUCACCCAUUAUAGGCUCAUAUAGAUCGAGUUCGGUUCGAGGGGAUACAUUUCCUUAUGACCAUGCGGAGAUGAAAAUCUCACAAAAUCAUAGGUACAGAUGUACCCCGGAAGCAAUCCACUAGCCCAUGCGGAGGUGAAAACCUCACGAAAGCGUAGCUUCUUACUCCCACUUAAAAGGUGUGACCACAGUGGUCAUGCAAUGAAAUGCAGUGCUAAUCUACAAAACCCGCACCAAAACAAACAUACAAUCAAAUGCAAUCGAAAGAUACAUGAUUUUUAAAAUAAAUUUUUGGUUUUUUAACAAAAUGACCGUAAAUAAUCAAAUUUUAUGGCUUGACUCUCAAGUUCAAUUCCCCAGCGGAGUCGCCAAGCUAUCUAAACCACCCUUCGAUUUAAAAAUAAUUUUAAAUUUAAAAAAAAGGGAAAGUCGACUUUUGAAAAACGAAACAUGGAGUCGCCACCGAUCUUUUAUUUUGGGUGUAAUCGGAUCACCUAAGAAAUUGAUUAUUUUAAUAAAACAUUCUCGGUUUAUUGAAACACAAUUUUGGUCUUACGAAAUAAUGAGAAAAUGGGUUCGGGAGUCGGUUACGCAUGAGGAAGGAUUAGCACCCUCACUACGCCCAAAAUUGGUACCAAAUUGAUUAAACACUGUCCUUAUGUCAAAGCUUAAAAAAUGUUUUUGAAAUGUGGUUCUUGUUAAUAACGUUUAAAUAACCCGAGUGGGUUACCAAAAUCUUUUUGUUUCGACGUCCGAAAGUCUAUAAUUCGAAAUUUACAAAAGGAUGCCCAACUAUUUGGUCCAACGAAAAACCGAAACCCAGCACAAUAGGGCACGAUUCCUCGAAUUUCUGAACAUCGAACAUUGCCUCACCUUAGAAAAUACAAGUGAAAUUCCGAAGGGAUCUUCGAUUGUUUUGAGCAAAAGAGAAAGCGCAACCCAGCACAAUAGGGCUCGAUUCUCAAAUCACCAAACAUCGAAUAUCGACUUCGUUUUGCAAGGUUUUUAAUAAACAUGAAUGAAAACCUAAAGGAAUAUUCGAUUAUUUGAGCAAACGAGAAUCACAACCCAGCACGAUAGGGCAUGAUUCCCGAAUAAUCAAAAGCCAAAUAUUGCUUCGUUUUAAGUAAUUUUUAGAAGAUAUGAACGAAAUCUUGAAGGGAUACUCGAUUCUUUUGAGCAAAUGCGAAAUUGUAACCCAACACGUUAGGGCACGAUUCCGUGAAUUACUAAAUAUCGAAUGCCGUGUUCGUUUGGAAGAAUUUUAAAAGACAUGAAUGAAAUUUCGAAGCGAUAUUCGAUUAUUUUGAGCAAACGCGAAAUUGUAACCCAACACGUUAGGGCACGAUUCCGCGAAUUUCCAAACAUCAAAUCUUGUCUUCGUUUUGAAGAAUUUUUAAAGGAAUACUUAUAAAACUAGCUUAAAACGUAUUAUUUCGACUUGAAAUAAGAUGAAAUUGAUCAUAAAAGUUCGGAUUUUAUAAAACCACAUUUCAAAAAUCAAGUGAAAUGAUGAUAUGGGGGCAUAUAUGCAUGAAAUAAAAUCGAUUAAUGAACCCUAAAAUAUAACUAACCUAAGGAACAUAUCCGAUUACAAAUCACGCAUGGGGAACAAUUAACGUGGCAAUAACGAAUAAAUAAAAUGCAAUGACGGCAUACAUGGCAUAAUAAAAUUAUUAGAGGCAUAAAAUAAAACGUAAUCCAAAGAAGCAAUAUGGUAUAAGAUUAUUGUAAAACAAUGACAAGCUUAAUAUACUCGCGCAAUCAUCAAAAUAUAUAUCGUAGAAUGAAUAUUUUCGAAGUACAUAAUGUAUAGAUUGACAAAUUUAUAUAGAAAAUAAGAAUGUAAUUCUUAAAAUAGAUAUUAUAGAAAACGAUUUUGAAUUAAGUCACAUGCAAAAUGUUUAAAAACAAGUUCAUUUGAAAAUUGACAAAGCACAUGAUAACUUAAAUAAUAUAUAUAGUACGAAAAAAAAUAAAAUACAUGAUGAAAUAUAAUACACAAGGUAGAUUUACAAAAUAUAUACAUAAAUAAUUUAGAAAAUAAUCACUUGUAAAUGAUAUAAAAAUACAUGCGGCGUUAAGUUAAUUUUAUAAUAAAAUAUAUACAAUAGUUUUAGGAACGCGCCUAUAUGCAUAUAUACAAAGAGUACGAUAUAUGUAAAAUUCAUAAAUUUAAUAUAAUAUAUAUAGACUAAACAUAAGUGUCACCAAAAUAUAUAAUAAAAUAGCUUAAGGGGUAUAUGAUGUAAAAUUAUGUAAUAAGAGAUGAGAAUAAAUUUAAGAGAAAACAUAGGUGUAAAAUAAUAAAAUAUUAAUAAUAUGUAUAAAAUAAGAUGAACCUUAUUGUAAAGUAUAUACAUAUACCUAAGUGUAUAAAAGAACAUUUUAAACAAGCUAAUUUAAAAGAAAAUAAAUGAAUAAAUAUAUAUAGUUACAUAUAGAUAUUUGUAUACGCGUAUAUAAAUGAAAGUAUGAAUAAUAAAAUAUGGUCAUGCAAAACUUAAUAAAAUACUUCAAGAUAGUACAUUGAAUGGUGAAUAAUAAGUAAGUUUCAAAAAUAGAAGGGUUUCAAAGAAUAAAAAUGCUGAAAAUAACAAAAAAAACUCAAUUGAAACAAAAAUGAAACUAAAAGGAUCAUUAAUAAAUAAAAUCAGUUGCUGAAAUUAGGAAAAGGACUAAGUUUUGACGCGCGCGCGAAUGCAAGGGACUAAAACUGGAAAUAUACCAGAACCCAAAAUGAUGCGUUUAGGCGCGGAUUAGAUUGCACUCAUGCGCAAAAUACAAAGCCCAAAUUAAAAAAAAUGAAAUGAAUAAGACACCAUUGAAUGUCCGUACAAAAAGGAGGGGCCAAUUGUGAAAUAAUACCCUCUCCGCGAGAGCACGCGGGUCCUAGAGUGGAGAAACGGAUCGGGUCGGGCGCAGUUAUACGACACCAUUUGGAGAGCUAUUAGGCAGGGCCUAAAACGGUGUAGUUCGAGGUUGAAUAAAAGGGCUAAAUCGACAACUUUGGCCGAACCUAAACCCUAACAUCAUUUCUUUUCUCUCCAGCAGCCCCUAAGCCUCUCUUCUCCUAUGCCAAGCCGCAACCAUGUCGAUGGCCGGCAUCCUCAGGCUACAUGCGAACACUUUGUGGCUUUGAGGUUCCCCUUAAGUCUCCGAUUUCGGUGAAACAAAGGAGAACCGAUAGCCUAUUUUCCAGAUAAGGUUUCGUCUCCUUUUUCUUUUAUUUAGAUGUAAAUAACGAAAAAGAAAAUCAAAAAGGGAAAUCGAGAGAGAAAAGAGCGUAAUAAACCCCAGAGAUUCAAAAGCAGAAGAUCACCUUGUUCUAUUUUUUGCUUUCUAUUCCUUCUGAAUGUGUGUGUAUUCUCUGUGAAUGUAACCUUUACAAUGAUUACAGAUCCUGGCUUUAUAGCCGAAAAAAGAAAGAAAAAAUAAUAAAAAUAAAUAAAAAGAAUUCGACAUUUGUUCUUUGUUUUUUUUCUGCUCUAUGCUGUUGUUGCGUUUGUCCCUUUCUUCGCAGGUACAGGUGUGCGCUCGGGUACGGGGUCAUGUGCUGGCACGGGCGUGACUACUGGACAGUAUGGAGGCCAGGGCUGAAGCUUGGCUGGUUGCGGCGCAAAGGGGAACCUUAGGGUUCUUGAGGAUUGCUUGACCUUUGGGCCAAUCGGGCUGUAUUUUGGGUCUAGGUUAAUGGGCCAUUGUAUUUGGUUUUGGGUCUAAACAAUGGGUUUGGGCUAUUGUAAUAAUUUCAGACUAAUGGACUUUUAAUAAUAUUUGUUGGUUUUUUAAUAUAUAUAUUUAUUUAUUUAUUGUUGUAUAUUUGGGUUUCUAGUGGGCCCGGGCAAAUUUGCCCAUUUACAAUCAUAGUUUAGGGAUAUUUGGUACAAUUAACUCUUCUCAAAAUAAGUAUCUAAUAAAAUUUAUUGGUAUUAUAAAUAAGUAAUGAACUAAAUUACUUAACUAUUUGCUCACGCAUAAUUUUUAUAUGUUUAGAACUUGAACUUAAACAAGAUUCUAAUGUCACGGGCCACGAAUCAAAGCUCGUGACCAUUGCAAAAAAAGUGUCCCAUAGAGAUUUACAUAUUAAAUGGGGCUCAUUUGACUCACUUAAAGUCUUGGUGGCCUAGUAAAGCAGUUAGGGGAAAUUAUGGAUACCUUGAUAAAUAAGGAAAGUAAUAUUAGAAGGUUUGUAAUAUGAUAAGAUUUGAUUUUCUAAUCUUGGAAAUUGUGUAAAUCCUUUAAUUGUAGAUAGGCUUCGAUCUCAUCUAUGACUGUUAUACCGUAGAUUUUGGGGGAGCUCAACUAUAAAUAGAGAGCCUCCCCCUCAUUUGUAAUCUUUCAUUGUAUCCGUUAUUGUUUGAGUAAAAAAAUAUAUUGAAAGAAUUUACUCCAACACCUUGUGUGCAUUGAUUUUCUGUGGCUAUUCUGUUCUUUUGAGAUUUUUUUAUCUUUGAGAUUGCUUUCGCUAUAUUUUGGUGUCUUAGAGAAAUUCUGCGAGAAUCCUCACUUUGCGAGAGUUAGGCUGACUUAGGCGUAUUUGAAGUGAAGGAAUCGCCUAAAGUCAUACGAAUUGUAAGACAAAAGGUCUAUCCCCGUGAUAGUUGGUAUCUAAGCUAAGUUUACGAAGGUACUGUCCAAGAUGUUGAAAGAAGUUACUGAUUAGAUUGAGCCAAUGGAGACCUGUGGGAGGGCUAAUAAAGCAAGCUGAUCGAGGCCAUGGUAACUACCUUGAAGGAAGAGAUUGCUAAACUUAAGAGGGAGCUCACUAUCUACAAGACUGCCUAAGGAAAUGAGAUGUUGGCUUUGGGACUAAAGCAACAUAAGAUGGAUGUUCCCAAUUUGGAGAAGUUUAACGGGGCAAGGUCUGUAAGGGAAGUGGACAACUUCUUAUGGGAAAUAGAGCUAUAACUUUCGAGCAAUUGUCAUCGAGGAUAAUUCCAUUAAGGUAUAUACUACUUCAAUUUAUUUUAAUGAUGUUGCUCUCUUGUAAUAGUGACGUAUGUCUACAGAUGAGAAACAUGGCACUAUUCAAGAGUAUGUUUGGGAGUUUUGAGAGCCGAUAAUUCAGAUCCCUGGCUUGAGUGAGAAAGAAAUGUUAUGAUGGUUUGAAGUCGUGGGAAAAACAUGAGUUGUUUCGAUAAGGAAUCACUUAGCUUACUAUAGCCAUGGUCGAGGCAAAGUCCUUUGUCGAUCUUGUUCUGAGGAAAGACAAGUUCGAGUCUUCUAAGCCUAAUGGGAAGGGCAACGAUGGGAGGGUCAUAAGAAAUAUGAAGAGGGACAUGGUGAUAAUGAAAAUGGUAAUUGUAACACCCCUAUAACCCGUAUUCGUCGCCAUAGUGGGUUAUGAAGAGUUACCAAUCCAAAACACUACAUUUGUAUAUUCACAUUUACAUAAGUUCAGUAGCAAUUACAUGCAUAGCCAAACACAAUCAAAGAUCAAAAUUCAGACUUAUACCGACAUUCAAAAGUUACCAUAUUCACAAGGCUUAUAUACAACAACAUCUCAAAAUAUCAUUCACUUAAGUCUAUUCUAUACAUGCCAUACGAAUUCCAAAACAUAAUAGUACCAAAAUGAUAGAUAGUGUAACGAGUUGCUGACGAUCCCCGAGCAAGUGGCUGGAGUCAACGAUCUAUAAAACAGAGAAACAUAACAAACGGAGUAAGCUUUUAUAAGCUUAGUAAGUUUUAAGCAAUGCAAACAAAUAUACUCAAUUAUAAAUCGAUCAUUCAAUUUAUCAAAUAACAUUUUCUAAGUAUAUUGCCAUUUGGCCGAAUAUACACUAGCACAUAUUGUACAUUUAGUAUUUUUAUUUUACUUGAAUCUGAACUUAUAUAACAUAGGUAAAUCAAAUACCAUCACAUAAUUUCACAUCUUGACCGGAUGUAUCAUGAUCAUAUAUAUAGUCAUAACUCUUAUUCACAUAUGCAUCACAGUUUACAGUUAUGGUUCAUUUCAAAUCAAACUCACAUACAAGUACAUUAUACAUACCUGGGCAACUUAAUGUAAUGAAUGUAUUCAAUUGCCGUUAUAACACGAAGCAUCAUAGUCUUAGACUGUUAUCAAAUAACCGAAAAUUAGCCUACUAGGUUUUAAACGCGAAUUCAUCACCGGCACGAAGCCUGCUAGACUUAAGUUUGAAUUCGUUCACCGGCAUUUCGCCAGCUAGGCUCGAAGCCCGAUAUUAUUUCACCGACAUUAUAGCCUGCUAGGCUUGAGGCCCAAUAUUAUUUCACCGGCAUUAUAGCCUGCUAGGCUCGAGGCCCGAAUGGUACCAUACGAUAAUCAAUUCACCAAGUUUCAUGCAUAUCAAAUCAUAUGUUACUUGAUUUCACAUAGCACAAACACACUAAUAAUUAUUUCCUUCAUUCGAAUAAAUGCACAUAUCACACACCUUAUCAUCAUGUCAUAAUUCUCCUAUUAUACAUUUUUCAUAUUACAUUCGAUUAUAAACUAUGUUUGAUUACUCAAAACUUACCUCGAAUAUUUUCAACAGUCGCGGAUCAGCUAUUCAGUUACUUUAGCUUUUCCCUUAUCCGAAUUUUCCCCUCUAUGCUCUUGAGCUAAAAUCAACAAAUUCAACUUCUCAAUCAAACACAUACGUACGACAGCCAUAUACAUUUCAAAAGCUAAUUCAUUCACAUCAUUUGUCCACUUAAGUCUAUCACCAUUUCAUUUUCAAAUUCAUGUACUUUGUAAUUCACAUUCGAACACUCAAUUAUACCUUAACUUGUCCAUUUCUUUCAUUUAAACAACCCACAUAACUCAUUCAUUCAUGAACACAUUCGGCACUAUGCAUCUUUACAAAUAUUUCAUUUAAGCAAUUUUUGCCACCUUAAAAUCAAUUCAUGCACUCACAAUUUAAAUAGAUUCACUACUUCACAGUCGGUCAAUUAAUUAUACAAUUAACCAUAGCCGAAUACUAAACAAGUAGAUAUUUGUUCACAUUUCUUUAACACAUAUUUAUCAACUAGUCUAUGUAUUAGUUUUUAGCAUAUUCGGUCUUGAGAGCAACCUAUUUAAUUUUCAUGCGUUCUUUUCUAAGGUUACCAAGACCAUCCUAUGAUUAAAUAUAUACAUCAUCUUUCAUAAUACAUGAAAUUCCUAUUAAAACUCUCAUACAUAUACAUUUCAUGCUAGCACAUAACACCAUGACCGAAUGCUCUCAUCUUUUAUUUAUUCAAUUAAACCAUUCCUUGACCAAAUAUUACAUUCGACCAUGGAAUAAGCUAAUUUAACAAAUAAACACAUACUUCCAACAAUUAACAAGAAUUUUUACAACUUAACACCAAUACCUGAAUAACAUUUUAAACACUUAUUCAAUUCAUUAACUAUUUGAUCAUUCGGCAAUUAUAUCUUCCAUUCAAGCCUUAUUUUAAACAACCAUGUACAAUUCUUGCAUUAUACCCUAAUAGCCGAUUACCAUCUAUCUAUCUAACCACAAACUAUCCUUAUUCAUCAAGCUCAACUCAUCUAUCAUCAUAUUUAAUACCAAAAACAUCAAACACCUUCAAAGACACUCAAACAACCUAUAGCCGAAUGCAUCACUUCAAACCAAUAACAAAAAUUUAGUCAUGGGCUAUGAAAGGAGCUUAGCAAUUAACUCAAUUUCACAUAAAUUAUCAAGAAAUAAAAUCAAACAUACCUCCAAUUAGAUUCACCAAGGCCGAAUAUCAAAGAGCCUUUUGUUUUACCUUGUUCUUUAGAUUUUGGCAAAUGAAAGAAAGAAUGGAUGAAAACUUUGUUUUCAUCACCUAUUUACUUUUAUUAAUUAUAAUUUCCUCUUAUAAAAUCAUUAAAUAUUAUAAUACUAAUAUGGAAUGCAUAUAAUAUCCAUUAAGUUAUUAUUUUACUAAUACAAAAUACAUAUAUUACUUACCAUCUAUCAUCAUUGCCUUCCACUAAUUUAAUAGUGGUCCAUUUGACAUGCAAGUCCUCCUUAUAAUAUACCAUACAUUAUUCGGCCCUCUAAAUUCUACCUAUCACAUUUUUAAGUUUUAUCACACAAGUCCUUUUUAACAAUUCCACAUCCAAAUGACAAAAUCAAAGCAUGAAAUUUUCACACAUGCAAUUUCACAUAUAAUAAACAUGUAAUAUAACAUUUAAUUAUUUUUGUGACUCAGUUUUGUGGUCCCGAAACCACUUUCUGAUUAGGGUCAAAUUAGGGCUGUCACAGUAAUAGUGGAAAUGGUGGCAAUGGGAAAUCAUGAAAUGGGAAGUGGAAAACCAAAAACAAUCGAAAGAGAAAGUGAGUGAGAUAAAAUUCUUCCUUUGCAAUGAUCCGCAAAUGGUAAGGAAUUGUCCAAAGAGAUCCAUGUUUUUUGCUAUCAAAGGGGAUGAUGAGUCGAAAGAAGAGGCCAUAAGGUUUGGUUAAAUUGUGAAGGUUUUUGAAGCAAAGAAGACCAAUGAAAGUGAGAAGAAGCAAGUGAAGUGCUUCUUGUGUUGUGAGUCGCAUAGGUUACGGGACUGUCUAGAGCAAUCUAAGCUAUUCGUGACCAAUAAGGGAGAGAAAGAGAAGCUCAAUGAGAGUCUUCAAGGCUUAGGUCAAUGGUAUUCAUUCUUGAAAAGAGUAAUAAUAAGCAAGUAGGGUUGAUGUUUGAGGACAUCAACAACCCAGGCUAGAGAAAGUGUACUCUUAUUGAUACGAGAUCAUCAGACUUGUUCAAAAUGGAGAAAGCCGUGGUCAAACUUGGUCUUUCGGUUAGAAAAUUGAAUAAAAAGAUCAAGACAAUAAAUUCUGAAGAGGUUCCUACUAUAGGAGUAGCACGAGGAGUCGAGCUAUAAAUCAACGAGUGGAAGGGCAAGGAAGAUUUUGAGGUAAUCCACUUAUGUAACACCCUUUACCUGACCUGAUUCACCAAGUCCAGAUAUCGGAUGUUACAACAUACAAACACUAAGCAUAAAUUUUAAAAAAUCUGCAUGUAAUCCUUUUUCAACAUACUCCUUAUGUUUUAUUUAAAUAUUUUCGAACAAAAGAAAUAAACAAAAACAUCCAAGAUUACAACUGACUCUUAAAAAUAAUAUAAGACAUUACAAUACAUAAGUUUGAUAAAGAUAGCCUCUUCUUGGCGUAAUGUACUAUACGCCGUAUUCCUAAGAUUCCCUUGUAUACAUAAUAUCCCUACUUUUCAUUUCUCUGGCACAUUUUCAGCUUGGUCCCUCCUGGUAUAGACACUUUCACAGCAAAACCUGAAACAUGAACAAGCAUUUUGUAAGUUCUCGCGAACUUAGUGAGUUUUAAUACCAGUUUACCUUGAAUUAUUUCUAAUUGAGUUCAUCAUAUUAUAGCCUUUGGUUUUCGUCUCUGACUUUGGAAAGUACUUUCCAUAAUGGCGUAUAUAUAUUCAUCAAUUCUCAUGUUUGAUCAAUCUAUUUUCAAGUCACUUUUUGAAUUGAUUCAAAUCUUUAAAACACAAAACAUAUCCUAUUCUCCUACUUGAGAAACAAUUGUACUUUUUAGAAGAAUAUCAAAAUUGGACCCUCUUUGUUGGAUACUCACUUAAAUAGACACUGAAUACUUUACUAGGAAUGAUGAUCUUAUAGAUAUUAUCUUUCAUUGUUACUUUUACUGAGUUUGAUAAUUAUCAAACUACCAACCAGAUCAUAUCUGAGUCAAUCCCAAAUCAAACUUAUGUUGAAUAUGAAACAUUUCAAAUCAUCCAGAAGGAUUUCAGAUGAAUAUGACACAAAAUACGAGAAUGCCCAAAUUGAAAAAUGACUUAGAUUCCAAAUAACCCCAGAACAAGACAUAAUAUUAUUCAGAAAUGGAGGAUACCAAAUAACUCAUAUUUCAACCCUAUAUAGCCUAGAUGAAUUUUGACCAAUGAAAACUUACACUUUUCAUAAUUAUGAAUACACACCCAUAUCCUAUACUGGCUGACUACUAUGGUGGAUUCCCUCUUUAGAAAUACAGAUACAUACUUUCUUUCAAGAAACGUCCCUUAAGACUCAUACAAUUUCAUCACACGACUAACUAAACCAUGUUAAAUUCAGACAUAUCAAAUCUUUAUUAUAGAAUUAGUGUCGAAGAAAUCUCAAAACUUACUCAGAUCUUGCCACAAGGACGGACAACAAAAAUCUGCUAUGCAGACAUCCCUGACUAUGCCACAUAGGCAUUACAGAAUUCGUCAUAGAUGAAAUAGAAAUUAUGUGACUAAGGCUUCGUAGAUCACACCACGUCGGCAUUACACAAAGUCACGUGUUUACUGUCCUGACAGAAUUUCACAAAAGGUGCCAUGGAUUUCUCCCAUAUGGACUUAUACAUAUCUUCAUAUCAUGAUCUGCCAAUCCGCUUGCAUUUUAUCGAAGUCAUCACCAUGAGUAUUGUAACAAGAUUCUUGUGCAAGUGUACACAAUUGUUCAAGUAAUAAGUAAGUAAAAUGAGUUAUUGUCUCCACAGGGACUGUGUGUGUUAAUCAAUUAUUUGCAAAUUUAUAAAUUCACAAUUUGGUAUAAAAAUACAAUACAUUGAAUAGUGAUGCUUAAAUUAUCUAGAUGUAAAAUUGAUCCCUAAUGCAAUUUUAAUCUAAGUAUGCAAACUAUCUAAAUGAUUGAAUGGAUGGAUUUUAACAACAAAAACAAUCAACAUAAAAUAAGCUAGGAUAAUUAUAUUAAUCAACUUAAUUAAUUUUCAUCAUGCUUAACAGUGUUCAAAAAACAUUCCAUGGUAACUCGAUCUUUCAUGAGUUUAGAAACCAAGUUAAAUCCUCUCGGAAUCUUUUACUUAGUGAAAUAUUCAUUUUAUUGAUCAUAUUAAACUAAUGGUUUCUUAGCAUUUAUGCGAGGUAACAGGGACAUUUACAUUUGAAAUAGUUUAAUCACAUAAACCUAAAAACUAUAUAAGAUAAUAGAGCUAACUAAAGAAAUUAUGAACCUCUAAUUUAGUUGGGUGUAAUGAUCUAAAUUGAGCUCUGCACUUUUCAAUUAUGUGUCUACUAGCCGUUGUUUGGUUAGGACCGCUCAGCUAAUCUGAAUGCAUCCAAUCACGUGUGAAUGAAAUGCAUCUUGAUUUUAAUUGAAAACAUGAUCGACUAAGGCACAAAUAUGUUAAACAUUAAUCAAAUAAAUAUUAUUCAAUUAACAUAAUCAUUCUAGCAAACAUAAUUAAACCAACAUUGUUGAUGUUAAGAUCAAUAAACAUAUAGAAAACAUGAUUAAAUUAAAAAAUAAGAAGGAAAGAGUAAACUCUAAUUUAGUUCAUUAGUCUUUCAGAUUUUUCUGACUGAGAUGUUCCUCCGAUCCCCUCGUUGCUCCUUUACUAAGGGUUUCUCAAGGUGGUCGACCAAGAGAUGGUCUUGACAAGGCUUUUUUGGCUAAAGAAUGGAAAUGAGGAUGAAGUGGCUAGGCAUGGAAAUAGAGAAGGGAAGUGAGAUAACGAAUGAAUGAAAUAUGUUUGAUGAAUUAAUGGAUUAAGAGAUGCUUUGAAAGGUGAAAGAUGUGUGGUAUUUUAAAGAAAAAUACUAACUAAGAAGAUAAAUAUAAAUACUUAAAAAUAAAUACUUAAGAAAAAAAAUUUCCCCCCUUUUUAUUAAAUUGUGUCAUCCCCUUUUUCUUUUUUCGAAAUUGCUGCAACAUGGGGAAAUGAUGUUGCGGCAAAGGAAAAGGGCAGUGAGUGUUGGAUAUUUUUGUCAUCAUCAUUGUUCUAGGCCUCGAGCCUAAAAUAGCAAAAGUUUUAUUACCUAUACUGAAAUAAAACUUGAUAAAAAUAAACUGAUUAAACAUUGGGCCAAUUUGACCCUCUUAUUGAACAUAAAAAUGAAAAUUUUCUUUUGGGCUACUUAUAAAAAUUAUUCUAAAAAAAUUACAUCAAAUUAAAUUCCUAAGAAAGGUUGGAGAGGUAAAAGCUGGUUUCGCUUUAGUUCCAAUCCCCUUAGACAGAAUUAAUUUGAAGUACUAAUUCAAGAAAAAUAAUUUCUAAGCAUGUCAUUUAUUCAAAUGAGAGAGAAAAUAAUGAAAGUAAAUUAACAACUAAGAGAGUGAAGAGGAUUCCCUCAAUGUUAUUGAUGAUUGUUACUGACAAAGGCGAUGUCGAACGGCCAUUUAUCAUACCAACCAUAUCCAUCUAGAAUGGAGUAAUGUUGCCCAGUAAUUAUAAUCAAUAUUUGCUCGAAAAAUAGCAGCAGGAAAUGGUCUUUUUGUUUUGCUUUGCUUGACUUUCUGUCAUUCGUACAAAUCUACCUACCCAUGAUGUUCAUUAAUGAAAUCAUCCCAUUUUUCGUUAUACCAUAUUUCUCUAGUACAAGUCCCACCCACUGAAUGUCAUAGAUGGGAUCCAUGAUCCUUGCUUUUAACCAUUAAGACUCAUGUUUCCCAAGAUCAAAUACCCAAGAUUGAAUCAAACUCUUCUUUCCCUUGACAGAUCCCUUUUCAGUAUUUGUAAUAGUUUACACGAUACCUUUCUCAUGCCAUUUCAAAACAGUGAAGUCUAACUCAGAUGGCUCUUCUCUUGAUGGGUUGGGUUGCUUGUUCUCAUGUGCUAAUAGCUCUAAUGUCUCGAACUGAACUUUUGAACUGAAUUCCUUCAAGUUAGCUUCCAAACAUCUAUAAUCCUUAUCUUGAUGUGAAAAGUUAGAUGAAAUACCUUCUAAUGGAUCAUUGUAUUCUAAUUUUGCAGGAACCAACAGAUCUUUCUCAAAGAUAGUAAAAUAAUAUUUAACCUCAUCAGGAGAUCUUACGGCCUUGAGUACAUUAAAGGUCACUUGUUUAUCUUCAACAUGCAUGGUGAGUUCACCUUUUUGUACAUCGAUUCUCAUCCUAUCGAUUUCUAGGAAAGGCCUUCCUAGGAUGAUUGAUACUUCUUUAUCUGCUUCAUAAUCUAAGAUAGUAAAGUUAGUAGGAAAUAUGAAUUUAUUAACACAUACCAAGACAUCCUUAAUAUUUCCUUCCAAGUAUGCCAAAGAUCGAUCCACCAAUUGGAGUGUAAUUGUAGUCGGUCUGCCCUUUCCAAUACCUAAGCGUCUAAACAUAGAUGUAGGCAUUAAGUUGAUACUCGAUCCUAAAUCGCACAGAGCCUUACUACAAUAGGAUUUUUCAAUAUUGCAAGGUAUGAUGAAACUUUUUGGAUCCUUCAACUUAGGAGGCAACUUAUUCUGAGAAAAUAGGCUAUACUCUGUAGUCAGGGCUACAGUUUGAAAUUCCCCACACCUUCUUUUCUAAGAUAGAAAUUCCUUCAUAACUUUUGCACAGUUCGACAUUUGCUCUAAAGCUUCUACCAACGGGAUGCUGAUACUUAGCUGUUUCAACACAUCCAACAUUCUUUUAAUUUAAGUAUCAUGUUUAUGUUGUUGGAGUCUUUGAGGAUAUGGAGGUUGUGGAACUUUUCCUUGGAUUGGGCAACUCCUUUAAGGUUAUAUAUCUGCAUCUGACAAAGAGGUUAGGUUAUCAGAACUUACUAGUUUAGAUUUUCCCUUUUUAGAAUUUGUAGAAUUUGGAUUCUCUGGUGCAAGAAUUUCAACUGUUGGUUGAUUUUCCUUUUUCUGCAGAGGUUCAUCUUCAACCUUAACCUCAAUAGGUUCAAAAUUCCUUCCGUUUUGCAAUUCUUUUAGCUCAUAUUUCUUAGGUUCUUCAUGUCACUAGGCAAAGCUCCUUGUGGUCUAUUUCGAAGCUCGUUGGCUAGCUACCCUAUUUGGUUCUCCAAAUUUCUCAAAUUUGCAUCGUUAUUCACAAUGUAUGCUCUUAAUAAGUUCUCAAGAUUAAAAGACUCAUCUGUUAAACGAUUUCCUACGCUACUUAGUACAACACCUUGUGGUUCAUUUCUAAACUCAUCAACUAAUUGUCCCACUUGAUUUUCCAAAUUCUCCAAUGUUGUUGCUUGGCCUUGAGUCAAGGCAUCAUUUUUAGCAAUGUGUGCCUUCAACAAAUUCUCCAAAUUAUUUAAAGGUUUAACUUGCAAUGGGUUUUGAACUUGUUGAUUGAAACCAAGAGUUUGAUUUGAUAUGUUGCAUGUAAGUGUUGUUCGGUCAACCUCAUUGGUAGUGGAUUGGUGGCUAAACUGCAACAUGAUUUAAAUCAUUACUAGUAAACUGUUUCGACAUUGUAGUUAUAGAUGAUACCUGAGCUGAAAGUGAAGUAAGGGCGUCUACUUCAUUCACUUCGGCUACUCAUUUUCCUAAAGCUGCUUGAUUUGUUGGCCACUAGUAAUUAUUACUUGCUAUUCUCUUGAUGAUUUCGUAAGCUUCAUUAUAAGAGUCCAACAAAACAGAACCAUUCGCAGAAGCAUUUACCACCAACCUUGUGUGUGCAUUGAAACCAUUAUAGAAAGUAUCCAACUAGAUACAAUGUGGAAUCUCAUGAUGAAGGCAUCUAUAACACCUUAUUCGUACCCGAGGCCGGGAUAGGAUACGAGGUGUUACAGAACAUAUACACAGUCAUUCAUGCAAAAAUCAGGUUAUAAAUUUUUUCUCUUCAAAACUCUUCAUUCAUAAAUACACAAUUUGUCCCUGUUACAGGCCUACAAGGCCCAAAACAGCCUUCGGAAAAGAUUUGGGACUAAAUUGAGAAUUUUAGAAAAGUUUGGGAAAUUUUCCCUAAUACAUAGCCACACGACCACGUGCUCUUGAACGCUCGUGUCUUCUGGUCAUGUAACUCUCUGACUAUGAUGUCAGCACCAAUUUAAGGUCACACGGCCGUAUCACACGCCCGUGUGGCCAGACUAUGUUGUCAAUUAAAAAUAAAUGAAUUUUUCAUAAAAUGGUGCAGACUUCACACGGCCAGAGUACAGCCAAUGUGGGUAGGCCGUGUCUCCCACACGGCCAAGACACAUGCCCGUGUCUUAACCCGUGUGUUUACCACUGGGCAUAUUAACUUGCAAAAUUUAGUUGCAAGGGACACACGGCCAUUCAACACGCCCAUAGAGCAGACUGUGUGUCACACACGGCCUAGGCACAUGCCCGUGUAUCUACCCGUGUGGACCAUUUAUAGGCUAUUUUCCAAGCCAAUUGUCACCCUCAAUCAUUCAUACACUUAACAUAUUUCAUAGCAUGCAACAUGACCUAUUUAAAACACUCAAUUAUUCAACACCAUGGCACUUUCACAUCUUCAUAAGGUCAUUCUAUUCCACAUUCAAUUAGACACAACAAUUGGAAGCAUCCACACAUAUUUCAUGCAUAAUCAAAUUUGUUACCAUAACCUCAAAUUACACACUCAUGUUCAUAGUCAUCUUAUGUCAUUAAGUCAUUCCUUAUUUCCAUGUACUUAAUUCAUUCCUUAUCACAUAUCCAUCAAACCAACCACAUAGCAUACCAUCAAGGCAUUAACACAUACAUGCAUGAACAAUUAGACAUUACAACCCAAUAAUCAAUUAUGAUCCAUAUCACAUGGCUAUUACAAAAUAAAUCAUCAACAUCAUAGGCCUUCACAAUUUGGCCAAAUAGCAUGACACAUAUCGCAAAAUGACCAAGUCCGUUAUACAUGCCAUACUCAAAAUAGCAAAUUCACUAUACCCAAUAAUCUUUUGAUAGUGUGAUCGAAUAUUCCGAUAGCUUCUAAUCCCUGAGCUAGCUUGCUAGAACUACAAAGGAUGGAAAGAGAGGGGGUUAAGCAUUAAAGCUUAGUAAGUCCACAUGCAAACAAUAUGCAAUGAUAUUAAGCAAUUAACAUACAAAGUCAUAGUAACAUAUACAUAACGAUUAUUCAUCAUAUAAACCUUUUGACUUACUUAUCAUAUGCACAUAUAUACUUUCUCAUCACAAAUCAUCCUUUAUCAAAGCAUUAUUCAUGGGGUUAGCGUACGUACUUGUACUCAUCGUAGUAUAUCAUAUAAUUAUACCUCUUCAACAUGCCCUCAUUGGGACUUUUAUCACAUCUAUUGCAUUGCCCGUUGAACACUCGGAAUACUAUUGGAUACGCGAAAAACUUGCACAUUAGUACCACAUAUACAUACGUAGCCAAAGCUACCUCAUAACAUGUAACGCUUGUAAUGGAGCUACUCACGAUGUAACACCCUGAAUUUGGGCAUAGAAGUUUUGGACCUUGAGCAUGAGAGCUGUUGAAGGCAGCUUAUAAUAUUUUGUUGUGCAUGUAAAUUUCGUUAAUGAAAACUUGUUUUAGUGGUUAAGUGUGCUGAGAAGUGUUGGAGAAGUCCUGGGUUCAAACCUGGACUCUAGCAAAAAUUUUGGUUUAAGGUGAAUCAAACCCUGGGUGUAGUAGGUAGGCCUUAAGAAUAAAGGAGUGUGGUGUAGUGGUAAGGUGGCGCCACUUAGGGGAUAAGGAAGUGAUGCCAUAGGGGAAGCAAGGGGUCCAAGGUUCAAGUCUUGGCUCUUGCAAUAUAUUUUGGUUUUUCUUUUCAAUAAAUCUGGAAGCAAGUAGGUGUGCUUUAAAGUUUAAUGUGUUGGAUUUAUGACACAAAUGAGUUGAUGGCCUAGUGGUGGUGGCGUGAGUUGGCAUGUGAGAGGACUUUGGUUCGAAUCCCUUAGCACGCAAAAGUUGAUUAUUUUGCUAUGUUGGGACGGCAAGAGUUGGUGUUGGUUUUAAACUCUAGUGAUGGAGGGAUCCCACAUCGGGAAGCUAACAUAAGAGUAGAUGGAGAGCUGGCUUUAAAUAGAGCAAACCAUGAGAAGAGUAGGCAUACCCUUCUCGGCUGAUCCCUUUCGCUUUGUGACGUGCUCAUUUGGGUUGGGCGUCAGCUAAGAGUGUUUGGAGCGCGGAUUAACUGCAGUCUCCUAACAGGUGUGUAUUUCUCACUACUCCAGCUGUAGGAUGGCUACUCCGGGGCGCGAUGGGCCGAAAGGGGCCAUGUGGGCCUAAUGGGCCUACGGGCCCAAUUGGAUAAGUUGUUUGAUUGUGUAGUAAAUAUUGGACUAGGCUAGGUGAAUCUCAUAUCUGUGGCUAGAUUUCGGCUAAAAGGGCCACACGAGCGUGUGGGCCCAUUUGGGCCGAGAAUGGGCUUUAGGUCCAUUCGUAUUGUUAUCCCUGUUUAGAAUUUUUAGUUUACCAAAUUACUGAAAUACCCUCGACUUGUAAAAUUACCAAAGUACCCUCGAUUUACAGAAUUAUCGUUUUACCCUUGAUUUAUAGAAUUACCAUUUUACCCUCGAUUUACAAAAUUAUCGUUUUACCCUUAAUUUACAAAAUUACUAUUUUACCCUCAAUUUAUAGAAUUAUCGUUUUACCCUUGAUUUAUAGAAUUACUAUUUUACCCUCGAUUUAUAGAAUUACCAUUUUACCUUCGAUUUAAAAAAUUACCAUUUUACCCCUAGGGUGUUAAAUGAUUGUUUUGCCCUUGUGGGCAAGUGAUUGACUUGGACUGUGUGGUUGACGGAUUUGAUUGUGAAUAUAUGUUGGUGAUAUGAAUGACUUGACUCUGACUGUUUGAUUCAAAUAUGGGCAUGAUAUUCUGAUUUUGUAUGUUGUAUGCCAUGACAUGUAUAUCUGUUGCAUGGGAUACGGGUUACAUUGAUGGAGGAAGCGUUCUGGCAGCCUCGCUGAAAUUUGGUGGCUUCGCCACAUAUAUCUGUUUUGGUGACUUCGUCACAAUAUCUGGCAACCUCGCUGCAAUUUGGUGGCCUCGCCACAUAUAUCUGUUCUGGUGACUUCGUCACAAUAUCUGGCAGCCUCGCUGCAAUCUGCUGGCUUCGCCACAUAUAUAUAUCUGUUCUGGUGGCCUAGCCACAAUAUCUGUAUUUGGUGACUUCGUCACAAUAUCUGGCAACCUCGCUGCAAUUUCUGUGGUGUGUAGCAUUUGGGUAGGCCGAGUAGUCUCCCCACAUGGUGUAAGGUUGGUACGGGGGUGCAUACGGCUAGAUUGGGUUGGGAUUGCAUUCACAUUCUGAUUUUGAUUCUAUUACCUGAUACUGAUUCUGAUUCUAAUUCUGUCACCUAAUUCUGAUUCUGAUUCUGUCACCUGAUUUUGAUUCUGAUUCUCAUUUUGAUUCUAGUUCUGAUAAUGUUUCUUAUUCUGUAAUGGGCUAAGGCCCAUCUGGUACUAUCUGUUAUAGUGGGCUAAGGCCCAAUUGAUAUUGAAACUGUAAGUAAGGCUAGGGCUAGACUUUUAAUUCUUUUAUAUGACUGACUAUUCCUUUUUAUAGUAGGGGAUUUCACACUGAGUUCUCGUAAACUCACACAGUUUAUUAACCUUUCAGGUAAUUUCCAGCCUUAGACAGAUCGGAGCUGCGAGGGGCUCGGAGGAAGCCACACACACUGUUUAUUUUAUAGUUUUGAUUAUUACUUUUAAAUGUUUUAUGUGGGCUGUAGUAAAGCCGUUUUAAUUUUUUGGAUUUCAAAUUUGGAAUUUUAUUUAUUGUUUUUAUAAUUGCUAGUAUUAGAACAUGGUUUUCCAAAGCAACUACUAUUGUUCAAAACAUCACGUAUCCGCAAUUGUUUUUAAAUUAAGCUUUUGCAACUACCAAGAUUUUUACAAAGUUGUUAAGAAUGUUAUUCAGCUGAGGUUUUAUAACAAGGUUUAAAAAGGGUAUAAGUUUUUAAUUAUUAAGAAGGGUUUUUAAUGGAAACGUGGUUUUCGAAAAACACUUCAAUGUGACACGCCAGAUUCGAGCCAAACUUCCAGGCCGGGUUUGGGGUGUUACACACGAGCUUGCUCAUAUAAGUUAUUGAUCAAGGGGUAACUACAUUGGCUGCUCACACAAGCUGUCAGGUAUCUGACCCACUCAAAGAUUACCUAACCACCAGUAGGACACACAAGACCAUUGCUUGGAACCCAAUUACAUGUAUCGCAUCCAUUAUGAACUUGAACCAACUCAACGAGUUUGAAUGCUCGUAUCCGUAAUGAACUUGGACCAAAUCAACGAGCUUGGAUGCCUCAAAUAUACCACAAACCCAGACCAACUCAAUGAGUUUGGAUUUCUUAAUUCCUAGUGACAUGUCACUUGUAUCCUAAACUAUUUCUAAGGUUCAAACGGGAUUCUUUCUCAUAUACACAUAAUAUCUCCAUCGUAUUAGCUCAUAACGUUGUGGAUAACGACCAAUAUCAUUCAUACUUACAAAGUUAUCAUUAGGCAUAACAUACAUAAUAUUGAUAAAACAUUUAUCCUAUAAUGUCAACACAUCAAAAUAUAAGAAAAAUGUGAAAGAUGAAAGAUGAAUUAAUGGAUUAAGGGAUGCUUUGAAAGGUGAAAGAUGUGUGGUAUUUUUAAGAAAAAUACUAACUAAGAAGAUAAAUAUAAAUACCUAAAAAUAAAUACUUAAGAAAAGAAAUUUCCCCCCUUUUUAUUAAUUUGUGUCAUCCCCUUUUUCUUUUUUCGAAAUUGCUGCAGCAUAGGGAAAUGAUGUUGCUGCAAAGGAAAGGGGCAGUGAGUGUUGGAUAUUUUUGUCAUCAUCAUUGUUCUAGGCCUCGAGCCUAAAAUAGCAAAAGUUUUACUACCUAUACUGAAAUAAAACUUGAUAGAAAUAAACUGAUUAAACAUUGGGCCAACUUGACCCUCUUAUUGAACAUAAAAAUGAAAAUUUUCUUUUGGGCUACUUAGAAAAAUUAUUCUCAAAAAAUUACAUCAAAUUAAAUUCCUAAGAAAGGUUGGAGAGGUAAAAGCUGGUUUCGCUUAAGUUCCAAUCCCCUUAGACAGAAUUAAUUUGAAGUACUAAUUUAAGAAAAAUAAUUUCAAAGCAUGUCAUUUAUUCAAAUGAGAGAGAAAAUAAUGAAAGUAAAUUAACGACUGAGAGAGUGAAGAGGACUUCCUCAAUGUUAUUGAUGAUUGUUACUGAAAAAGGGGAUGUCGAACGGCCAUUUAUCAUACCAACCAUAUCCAUCUAGAAAGGAGUAAUGUUGCCCAGUAAUUAUAAUCAAUAUUUGCUCGAAAAAUAGCAGCAGGAAAUGGUCUUUUUGUUUUGCUUUGCUUGACUUUCUGUCAUUCGUACAAAUCUACCUACCCAUGAUGUUCAUUAAUGAAAUCAACCCAUUUUUUGUUAUACCAUAUUUCUCUAGUACAAGUCCCACCCACUGAAUGUCAUAGAUGGGAUCCAUGAUCCUUGCUUUUAACCAUUGAGACUCAUGUUUCCCAAGAUUAAAUACCCAAGAUUGAAUCAAACUCUUCUUUCCCUUGGCAGAUCCCUUUUCAGUAUUUGUAAUAGUUUACACGAUACCUUUCUCAUGCCUUUUCAAAACAGUGAAGUCUAACUCAAAUGGCUCUUCUCUUGAUGGGUUGGGUUGCUUGUACUCAAGUGCUAAUAGCUCUAAUGCCUCGAACUGAACUUUUGAACUGAAUUCUUUCAAGUUAGCUUCCAAACAUGUAUAAUCCUUAUCUUGAUGUGAAAAGUUAGAUGAAAUACCUUCUAAUGGAUCAUUGUAUUCUAAUUUUGCAGGAACCAACAGAUCUUUCUCAAAGAUAGUUAAAUAAUAUUUAACCUCAUCAGGAGAUCUUAUGGCCUUGAGUACAUUAAAGGUCACUUGUUUAUCUUGAACUUGCAUGGUGAGUUCACCUUUUUGUACAUCAAUUCUCAUCCUAUCGGUUUCUAGGAAAGGCUUUCCUAGGAUGAUUUAUACUUCUUUAUCUACUUCAUAAUCUAAGAUAGUAAAGUUAGUAGGAAAUAUGAAUUUAUCAACACAUACCAAGACAUCCUUAAUAUUUCCUUCCAAGUAUGCCAAAGAUCGAUCCACCAAUUGGAGUGUAAUUGUAGUCGGUCUGCCCUUUCCAAUACCUAAGCGUCUAAACAUAGAUGUAGGCAUUAAGUUGAUACUCGAUCCUAAAUCGCACAGAGCCUUACCACAAUAGGAUUUUUCAAUAUUGCAAGGUAUGAUGAAACUUCUUGGAUCCUUCAACUUAGGAGGCAACUUAUUCUUAGAAAAUAGGCUAUACUCUGUAGUCAGGGCUAGAGUUUGAAAUUCCCCACACCUUCUUUUCUUAGAUAGAAAUUCCUUCAUAACUUUUUGCACAGUUCGACAUUUGCUCUAAAGCUUCUACGAACGGGAUGCUGAUACUUAGCUGUUUCAACACAUCCAACAUUCUUUUAAUUUAAGUAUCAUGUUUAUGUUGUUGGAGUCUUUGAGGAUAUGGAGGUUGUGGAACUUUGCCUUGGAUUGGGCAACUCCUUUAAUGUUAUAUAUCUGCAUCUGACAAAGAGGUUAGCUUAUCAGAACUCACUAGUUUAGAUUUUCCCUUUUUAGAAUUUGUAGAAUUUGGAUUCUCUGGUGUAAGAAUUUCAACUGUUGGUUGAUUUUCCUUUUUCUGCAGAGGUUCAUCUUCAACCUUAACCUCAAUAGGUUCAAAAUUCCUUCCGUUUUGCAAUUCUCUUUGCUCAUUUUUCUUAGGUUCUUCAUGUCACUAGGCAAAGCUCCUUGUGGUCUAUUUCGAAGCUCGUUGGCUAGCUACCCUAUUUGGUUCUCCAAAUUUCUCAAAUUUGCAUUGUUAUUCGCAAUGUAUGCUCUUAAUAAGUUCUCAAGAUUAAAAGACUCAUCUGAUAAACGAUUUCCUAUGCUGCUUAGUACAACACCUUGUGGUUUGUUUCUAAACUCAUCAACUAAUUGUCCCACUUGAUUUUCCAAAUUCUCCAAUGUUGUUACUUGGCCUUGAGUCAAGGCAUCAUUUGUAGCAAUGUAUGCCUUCGACAAAUUCUCCAAAUUAUUUAAAGGUUUAACUUGCAAUGGGUUUUGAACUUGUUGAUUGAAACCAAGAGUUUAAUUUGAUAUAUGUCGCAUGUAAGUGUUGUUCAGUCAACCUCAUUGGUAGUGGAUUGGUGGCUAAACUGCAACAUGAUUUAAAUCAUUACUAGUAAACUGUUUCGACAUUGUAGUUAUAGAUGAUACCUGAGCUGAAAGUAAAGUAAGGGCAUCUACUUCAUUCACUUUGACUACUUGUUUUCCUAAAGCUGCUUGAUUUGUUGGCCACUAGUAAUUAUUACUUGCUAUUCUCUCGAUGAUUUCGUAAGCUUCAUUAUAAGAGUUCAAAAAAACAAAACCAUUCGCAGAAGCAUUUACCACCAACCUUGUGUGUGCAUUGAAACCAUUAUAGAAUGUAUUCAACUAGAUAUAAUGUGGAAUCUCGUGAUGAGGGCAUCUAUAACACAGCUUAUUCAUACCCGAGGCCGGGAUAGGAUACCAGGUGUUACAGAACAUAUACACAGUCAUUCAUGCAAAAACCGGGUUAUAAAUUUUUUCUCUUCAAAACUCUUCAUUCAUAAAUACACAAUUUGUCCCUGUUACAGGCCUACAAGUCCUAAAACAGCCUUCGAAAAAGAUUUAGGACUAAAUUGAGAAUUUUAGAAAAGUUUGGGAAAUUUUCCUUAAUACAUAGCCACACGACCGCGUGCUCUUGAACGCCCGUGUCUUCGGGUCAUGUAACUCUCUGACUAUGAUGUCAGCACCAAUUUAGGGUCACACGGCCGUAUCACACGCCCGUGUGGCUAGACUAUGUUGCCAAUUAAAAAUAAUUGAAUUUUUCAUAAAAUGGUGCAGACUUCACACGGCCAGAGUACAGCCAAUGUGGGUAGGCUGUGUCUCCCACACGGCCAAGACACAUGCCCGUGUCUUAACCCGUGUGUUUACCACUGGGCAUAUUAACUUGCAAAAUUUAGUUGCAGGGGACACACGGCCAUUCAACACGCCCAUGGAGCAGACCGUUUGUCACACACGGCCUAGGCACAUGCCCGUGUGUCUACCCGUGUGGACCAUUUAUAGGCUAUUUUCCAAGCCAAUUGUCACCCUCAAUCAUUCAUACACUUAACAUAUUUCAUAGCAUGCAACAUGACCUAUUUAAAACACUCAAUUAUUCAACACCAUGGCACUUUCACAUCUUCAUAAGGUCAUUCUAUUACACAUUCAAUUAGACACAACAAUUGGAAGCAUCCACACAUAUUUCAUGCAUAAUCAAAUUUGUUACCAUAACCUCAAAUUACACACUCAUGUUCAUAGUCAUCUUAAGUCAUUAAGUUAUUCCUUAUUUCCAUGUACUUAAUUCAUUCCUCAUCACAUAUCCAUCAAACCUUUUGACUUACUUACUUAUCAUAUAUCUAUAUACAUAAGGAUUAUUCAUCAUAUAAACCUUUUGACUUACUUAUCGUAUGCACAUAUAUACUUUCUCAUCACAAAUCAUCAUUUAUCAAGGCAUUAUUCAUGGGUUUAGCGUACAUACCUGUACUCAUCGUAGUAUAUCAUAUAACUAUACCUCUUUAACAUGCCCUCAUUGGGACUUUUAUCACAUCCAUUGCAUUACCCGUUGAACACUCGGAAUACUAUUGGAUACGGAAAAAACUUGCACAUUAGUGCCACAUAUACAUACAUAGCCAAAGCUACCUCAUAACAUGUAACGCUUGUAAUGGAGCUACUCACGAUGAACACCCUGAAUUUGGGUCUAGAAGUUUUGGGCCUUGAGCAUGGGAGCUGUUGAAGGCAGCUUAUAAUAUGUUGUUGUGCAUGUAAAUUUCAUUAAUGAAGGCUUGUUUUAGUGGUUAAGUGUGCUGAGAAGUGUUGGAGAAGUCCUGGGUUCAAACCUGGACUCUAGCAAAAAUUUUGGUUUAAGGUGAAUCAAACCCUGGGUGUAGUAGAUAGGCCUUAAGAAUAUUGUUGGAGGAAUUGUGCCACAAAAGGGAGUGUGGUGUAGUGGCAAGGUGGCACCACUUAGGGGAUAAGGAAGUGACGCCAUAGAGGAAGCAAAGGGUCCAAGGUUCAAGUCUUGGCUCUUGCAAUAUAUUUCGAUUUUUCUUUUCAAUAAAUCUGGAAGUAAGUAGGUGCACUUUAAAGUUUAAUGUGUUGGAUUUAUGACACAAAUGAGUUGAUGGCCUAGUGGUGGUGGUGUGAGUUGGCAUGUGAGAGGACUUUGGUUCGAAUCCCUUGGCACGCAAAGGUUGAUUAUUUUGCUAUGUUGGGACGGCAAGAGUUGGUGUUGGUUUUAAACUCUGGUGAUGGAAGGAUCUCACAUCGGGAAGCUAACAUAAGAGUAGAUAGAGAGCUGGCUUUAAAUAGAGCAAACCAUGAGAAGAGUAGGCAUACCCUUCUUGGCUGAUCCCUUUCGCUUUGUGACGUGCUCGUUUGGGUUGGGCGUCAACUAAGAGUGUUUGGAGCGCGAAUUAACUGCAGUCUCCUAACAGGUGUGUAUUUCUCACUACUCUAGCUGUAGGAUGGCUACUCCAGGGCGCGAUGGGCCGAAAGGGGCCAUGUGGGCCUAAUGGGCCUACGGGCCCAAUUGGAUAAGUUGUUUGAUUGUGUAGUAAAUAUUGGACUAGGCUAGGUGAAUCUCAUAUCUGUGGCUAGAUUUGGGCUAAAAGGGCCACACGAGCGUGUGGGCCCAUUUGGGCCGAGAGUGGGCUUUAGGUCCAUUCGUAUUGUUAUCCCUAUUUAGAAUACUUUAGUUUACCAAAUUACUGAAAUACCCUCGACUUAUAAAAUUACCAAAGUACCCUCAAUUUAUAGAAUUAUCGUUUUACCCUCAAUUUACAGAAUUACCAUUUUACCCUCGAUUUAUAAAAUUACCAUUUUACCCUCAAUUUAUAAAAUUAUUAUUUUACCCUCGAUUUAUAGAAUUACCAUUUUACCCUCGAUUUAUAAAAUUACUAUUUUACCCUCGACUUACAGAAUUACUGUUUUACCCUCUAUUUAUAAAAUUACCAUUUUACCCCUAGGGUGUUAAAUGAUUAUUUUGCCCUUGUGGGCAAGUGACUGACUUGGACUGUGUGGCUGACUAAUUUAACUGUGAAUAUAUGUUGGUGAGAUGAAUGACUUGACUAUGACUGUUUGAUUCAAAUAUGGGCAUGAUAUUCUGAUUCUGUAUGUUGUAUGCCAUGACAUGUAUAUCUGUUGCAUGGGAUACGGGUUAUAUUGACGGAGGAAGCGUUUUGGCAACCUCGCUGCAAUCUGGUGGCCUCACCACAUAUAUCUGUUCUGGUGACUUCGUCACAAUAUCUGGUAGCCUCGUUGCAAUCUGGUGGCUUCGCUAGAUAUAUCUAUUCUGGUGACUUCGUCACAAUAUCUGGCAGCCUCGCUGCAAUCUGGUGGCUUCGCCACAUAUAUAUAUGUUCUGGUGGCCUAGCCACAAUAUCUGUAUCUGGUGACUUCGUCAUAAUAUCUAGCAGCCUCGUCAUAAUUUAUGUGGUGUGUAGCGGUUGGGUGCGUCGAGUAGUCUCCCCACAUGGUGUAAGGUUGGUACGGGGGUGUAUACGGCUGGAUUGGGUUGGGAUUGCUUUCACAUUCUGAUUUUGAUUCUGUUACCUAAUACUGAUUCUGAUUCUAAUUCUGUCACCUAAUUUUGAUUCUGAUUUUGUCACCUAAUUCUGAUUCUGAUUCUCAUUUUGAUUCUAGUUCUGAUAAUGUUUCUUAUUCUGUAAUGGGCUAAGGCCCAUCUGGCACUAUCUGUUAUAGUGGGCUAAGGCCCAAUUGAUACUGAAACUGUAAGUAAGGCUGGGCCCAAACUUUUAAUUCUUUUAUAUGACUGACUGUUCCUUUUUAUAGUAGGGGAUUUCACACUGAGUUUUCGUAAACUCACACAGUUUAUUAACCUUUCAGGUAAUUUCUAGCUUUAGACAGAUCGGAGCUGCGAGGGGCUCGGAGGAAGCCACACACACUGUUUAUUUUAUAGUUUUGAUUAUUACUUUUAAAUGUUUUAUGUGGGUUGUAGUAAAGCCGUUGUAAUUUUCUGGAUUUCAAAUUUGGAAUUUUAUUUAUUGUUUUUAUAAUUGCUAGUAUUAAAACACGGUUUUCCAAAGCAACUACUGUUGUUCAAAACAUCGCGUAUCCGCAAUUGUUUUUAAAUUAAGCUUUUGCAACUACCAAGAUUUUUACAAAGUUGUUAAGAAUGUUAUUUAGCUAAGGUUUUCUAACAAGGUUUAAAAAGGGUAUAAGUUUUUAAUUAUUAAGAAGGGUUUUUAAUGGAAACAUGGUUUUCGAAAAACACUUCAAUGUGACACGCCAGAUUCGAGCCAAACUUCUAGGCCGGGUUUGGUGUGUUACACACAAGCUUGCUCAUAUAAGUUAUUGAUCAAGGUGUAACUACAUUGGCUGCUCACACAAGCUGUCAGGUAUCUGACCCAUUCAAGGAUUACCUAACCACCAGUAGGACACACGAGACCAUUGCUCGGAACCCAAUUACAUGUAUCACAUCCAUUAUGAACUUGAACCAAUUCAACGAGUUCGAAUGCUCGUAUCCGUAAUGAACUCAGACCAACUCAACGAGCUUGGAUGCCUCAUAUAUACCUCAAACCCAGACCAACUCAAUGAGUUUAGAUUUCUUAAUUCCUAGUGACAUGUCACUUGUAUCUUAAACUAUUUCUAAGGUUCAAACGGGAUUCUUUCUCAUAUACACAUAAUAUCUCCAUCGCAUUUGCUCAUAACGUCGUGGACAACGACCAAUAUCAUUCAUACUUACAAAGCUAUCAUUAGGCAUAACAUACAUAAUAUUGAUAAAACAUUUCUCAUAUAAUGUCAACACAUCAAAAUAUAAUACAUUGUCACAUUAUUUACACAUGUACUUACCUCGGUACGAAAUAAUGGUAAUCGAGCCUAAUUGUCGUAUACUUUAUUCUUUCCUCGAUCAAGACUUGGUUCACGUUUUUCUUGAUCUAUAAUGCCAAAUUUAACUUGUUUAUUAAUCGCAUUAUUCAAAUCAAUCCAUAAUUCAUGCUUUGGUAAAAUUACCUUUUUACCCCUAUCUUUUCACUUAUUUACGAUUUAGUCCAUUGGCUCGUAAAAUUAAAUGCAUGCAUUUUCUUCGUUACCCAAGCCUAUCCAAACCUAUACCAUGCUCAUAUCAGCCCAUAUUUUCCUUUAUUUCACAUUUUUACUUCCCACUUUUACACUUUUACAAACAAGUCCCCCCUUUUAGGUGUUUUCACUAAAAAUCACCUAGUAAAAGGUGUUUAUCAUGCAUCAAACAUUCAUAUUCCUCCAUUAAUCAUCAAAAUACAUGCAUGUUACACAUGGGUCAAAUUUCAUACAUGAACCCUAGCUAAAUAUAUAGCCAAAAAUGGAUAGAUCAUGCUUCAAGGACUUCAAAAAUGUAAAGAACAUUAGAAACGGGGCUAGGGAGCACUUACAAUCAAGCUCGAAAUGUUGAACAAAACCCUAGCUAUGGAUAUUGAGAAAUUUGGCUAGCACUUGGAGAAGAUGAUCACAUUUUUGCUUUGAUUUUCCCUUUUUAUUCUUUUAAUUACCAAAUGACCAAAAUGCCCUUAAGGCCUUUCUUACAAAUUUUUCCUAUGCAUGUCCAUUGUUGUCCAAAAUUAUAGAAAUUGGUCAAAUUGCUAAUUAGCACCCUCUAAUUCAUAAUCUAAAGCAAUUUCAUGCUUAAAGCUUCUAGAAUGCAAGUUUUGCAUUUUAUUUAAUAUUGGUCCCUAAAGUGCAAUUAGACUUUUUAUGCAUAGAAUUUCUUCAAGAAACUUUCACAUAAGCAUGCAUUCACAUCAUAGACCUCAUAGGAAUCAUAUAAUAAUUAUUUUUAUCUCAGAUUUGUGGUUUCAAAAUCACUGUUCUAACUAGGCCCUAAUUUGGGAUGUUACAGCAUCUAUAUAGUAACUCCUUGAAUCUUUCCCACGUCUCGUAUAAGGACUCGUCAUCUAAUUGUUGAAAAGUGAUUAUCUCAUUUCGCAACUUAGCAUUUUUGCUAGGUGGGAAAUAUUUUACUAGAAAGCAUUCGGCUAAUUCUUACCAAGUAGAAAUUGAAUUGGAUGGCAAUGAAUUAAGCCAUACUCGUGAUCAAUCUCGCACCGAGUAUAGAAACAACUUCAACCUCAGUGCGUCUUUAGUUACACCAACUAUCUUGAAGGAAUCACUCACUGCCUUAAACAAUCGAAAGUGAAGAUGUGGAUCUUCUGUGGGCAUUCCAUUAAAUUGGCCGAUUGUUCGAAGCAUCUGAAACAUCACAGGCUUUAAUUCAAACAAUGAUGCCUUAAUCUCCAAUCUCCUAAUUCUCGGAUUUAGUUCGUUAAGAAGUGGCAUGGCAUACUGUCUUAUGGAUUGGCCGCUAUCAUCAGCAAUAAGAAUUGGAUUUUGAGCAUUAGCGGUUCCAUUCCCUUGAAUAUCAUUUUGAUUCUCAAUAUCUAUUUUUGUAGCUUGUCUCUAAGCUAAUCUUUCUCGUCUUCUUUGUCUAAAUGCCAACUUGAUUUCAGGGUCUAUAUGGAGUAAAUCGAUGAUUCGAUCUAUGCUCAUGAUGACCUGAAAAGAAAAUCACAAAAAAAACUAAAGAAUAAAAUAAUAAUAAUAAUAAUAAUAAUAAAAGGAAAGAGAAAAAAUUAAAGAAUUAAUUAGUAAAGUCAGAAAUUAAAUAAAACCAAACUGCAAAAAAUAAUUUCACAAAAAUUAUUAAGGUAACAAUCCACGGCAACGACGCCAAAAAUUUGUAACAUGAUUUUUGUACAAGUGUACACAGUCUUUCAAGUAAUAAGUAAGUAAAAUGAGUUAUCGCCUUCACAAGGAUUGUGUGUUAAUCGAUUAUUUGCAAAAUUAUAAAUUCACAAUUUGAAAUAAAAACACAAUAAAUUGAAUGGUGAUAAUUAAAUUUUCUAGAUGCAAAAUUGAUCCCUAAUGCAAUUUUAAGCUAAGUAUGCAAACUAUCCAAAUGAAUGAAUGGAUGGACUUUAGCAACAAAAACAAUCAACAUAAAAUAGGCUAGGAUAAUUAUAUUAAUAAACUCAAUUCAUUUUCAUCAUGCUUAACAGUGUUCGAAAAACAUUCCAUGGCAACUCUAUCUUUCAUGAGUUUGAAAUCUUUUACUUAGUGAAAUAUGCAUUUUACUGAUCAUAUUAAACUAAGGGUUUCUUAGAAUUUAUGCGAGGUAACAGGGACAUUUACAUUUGAAAUAAUUUAAUUACAUAAACCUAAAAACUAUGUAAGAUAGUAGAGUUAACUAAAGAUAUUAUAAACCUUUAAUUUAGUCAGGUUUAAUGAUCUAAAUUGAGCAUUGCACUUUUCAAUUAUGUGUCUACUAGCCGCCAUCUGGUUAGGAUCACUCAGCUAAUAUGAAUGCAUCCAAUCAUGUAUGAAUGAAAUACAUCUUGAUUUUAAUUGAAAACAUGAUCGACUAAGGCAUAAACAUGUUAAACAUUAAUCAAACAAAUAUUAUUGAAUUAACAUAAUCAUUCUAACAAACAUAAUUAAGCCAACAUUGAUGAUAUCAAGAUCAAUACACACAUAGCAAACAUGAUUAAAUUAAACAACAAGAAGGAAAAAGUAAACUCUAAUUUAGUACAGCAAUCUUUCGAAUCUUUUUGACUGAGAUGUUCCUCCGGUCCACCCGUUUCUCCUCUGCUAAGGGUUUUUCAAGGUGGCUGGCCAAGAGAUAGUCUUGACAAUGCCUUUUUUGGCUAAAGAAUGGAAAGGGAGAUGGACUAGGCAUGGAAAUGGAGAAGGGAAUGAGAGAAUGAAUUAAUGAGAGAUGCUUGAUGAAUGAAUGGAUUUGUAACAUCCCGAAAUAAGGCCUAAACGGAAUAGUGGUUGCGAAACCAUUAAUUCAAGGUCAAAAAAAUUUAUUCCGAUUAAUUUUUAAGGUUUAUUCAUUGAUUGAAUGAUUGUGUGAAAAUUUCAUGAAGAAAUUUUAUGUAUAAUUGCCUAAUUUGAUAAUUAGGACUAAAUUGUAAAAUUAGCAAAAUGUGUGUUGUAGAUAAUAAAGAGGAUUUAAUUGAAAUCGGUUCUUAAAGUGGAGGUCCUUACUUAGUAAUUAGACCAUUAUAUUUAAGUUUGGACAAAAAUGGGCAAGAAUAGGACAAAUUUGAAAGAAAAGCCUUUAAGGGCAUUUUGGUCAUUUAGUAAUUAAAAGAAUUAAAAAGGGAAAAUAAAGCCAAAAUUGGGCCAUCUUCUUCAUGGAGGCCGCAUAUAGCAUGGGGGAAGCCAUGGUUAGGGUUUCCAAGCUUUCUAAGCUCAAUAGUAAGUCCAUUCUAGCCUCGUUUUUAAUGUUCUUUACGUUUUUGGAGUCCUGGUAACUUGAUUUAGCUUACUCUAGCAAUAAUUCAUGCUAGGGUUCAUAUUUGGAAAAAUACUCAUAGGUUAAAUGUGUUUAUUUUGAUGUUUUAUGGGUAUUUUGAUGUUUUGCGGUAUAAUAUGAAGCUUGAAAUUAUGUUAAACAAUUUUUGCUAAGCAAUUUUAAGUGAAAACGAGUAAAACGACAAAAUCAGUAAAAAUACCUAAUGUUCAUAAGUACAUGAUAGAGUAGGAAUUUGAUGUUUCCAUAGAAGGGAAAAAUGUUCAGCGUGUCAUAAAACAUAAGAAAAAUGGAUAAAUUUUAACUUCCGAGCCUAGGGAAAAAUUGUAAUUUUACAAAGGUUUUGGGGCAAAAUUGUAAAUUUGCAAAAGUUUGAUUUAGGGAAUGUUUUGAAUAUUACAUUAAUUCAAUAGGCAAAAUAUGAUUUUUAGAUCCCAGAAAUGGACGAUUUGGACUUAGAACAGGAGAAAAACUGAAAAUCGAGAAAGUUGGUAAAAUGGUCGUUUUGGUAUCAAGGUAAGUUCAUAUGUUUGAUAAGCAUUUAAAUAUGCAUAUUUGAAUGAUAAAUUGAUAUUUUGGUCAUUAAUUCUUUAGUAUUGAGUUUCAGAUAUAAUGAUUAAUGUUCGAUAAUAAUUCGAUAUUGGAAAGAGAACUUGUAUAAUUUAUAUGUAAGACCAUAUUUUGUAUUAUGGCUUUGUAUGAUAACAAGAAAGUAUUGACUAGCAUAGUUUGAUGAGAAUAAGUUAAGUUGAUGAUAUGAUGAGAUUGAGAAUGUAAGUAUGUAAGUUGAGUAGCAUUUUAUUAUUAUGCAAUUAUUGUUAUUAGUAUUGUUAUUAUUGAGUUAUGCGACUAAGCUUGAGAAUUUGAGCAAGUAUGUUUCAGCUAUGACUUGACAAGGUAUUGAUAUCUCAAAGUCCAUGGUUGUACCAUGGAAAUUAAAGAAGAAUUUACGAAAAAUUCCAUGUUCAUAACAUGGCAUUUAAGGAGGAAUUGACGGUUAAGGAUACCAUGUAAGACCAUGUCAAGACAUGGCAUUGGUAAGGCAAGGAUCCCGUGUAAGACCAUGUCAAGACAUGGCAUCGGCAUUGAUUAAGGACUCCAUGUAAGACCGCAUCAAGAUGUGGCAUUGGCACUAAGACAAAGAUACCCUGUAAGACCAUGUUUGAAACAUGGCAUUUGGUAAGAUAAGGAUACCAUGUAAGACCAUGCCAAUGCAUGACAUUGAUAAGUUCUAUAAGACAAAGAUACCAUGUAAGACCAUGUUUGGAACAUGGCAUUUGGUAAGAUAAGGAUAUCGUGUAAGACCAUGCCAAGACAUGGUAUUGAUAAGUUCUAUUAGGCAAGGAAAUCAUGUAAGACCAUGUCAAGACAUGGCAUUUAUGAGUUACUAUAAGGCAAAGGUCCCAUGUAAGACCAUGCCAAGGCAUGGCAUUGGUGAGUUCAUAAGGCAAGGAUACCAUGUAAGACCAUGUCAAGACAUGACAUUGAUGAGUUACUAUAAGGAAAAGGUUCCAUGUAAGACCAUGCCAAGGCAUGGCAUUGGUGAGUUCAUAAGGCAAGGAUACCACGUAAGACCAUGUCAAGACAUAGCAAUGGUAAGUUCAAAAAGGAAAAGGUUCCCGAGUAAUCCAAAGAGUAAGUCAAAGAAACGACAAGGUAAGAACAUGAAGAAAGAGCACAACUAUGCAUUUAAGGCUUAUUUAAUAUUGAGAUUGCAAGUAUUUGAGAUUAUCAAGUAUUAAGUAAGUGAUGAGUUUUCAGUUAUGCUUGUGACACUUUAUGACAUGAUUGGCAAUAUGCCUAUAUUAUGAAAGAGUACUCAUGUGUUAAGUGAGAUGUUGCAGGUAUGUAAGCAAGCUAUUAAGUAAGGUGCCUUUUGUAUUCUGAGCCUUUGGUAAGGUUACCGAUGAGUAAGAUGGGAAAGUAAGAACUAAACAUUAUUUAAGCAAAUUAUGACAGCAUAGUAGUAAGCUAAAUUGAUUGCUAAUGCUUAUUAUUUUACAUGUGAACUUACUAAGCUUUAUAAGCUUACUUCUUUCACUUUCCCAUGUUUCAGAGUACUUAAAAGCAAGCUCGGGUUGGAGGUCGUCGGAGAUCACUUCACACUAUCGACUAUCAAGUUACCAAAUAGGUAUCUUCGUUUACAAACGUUCUAGUUUAUGGCAUGUAUAGGGACUUAGCCAUUUUGUGUGUAUGUCCUUAUGAUAUGGCUAAAGAAUGGUAUGUAAAUAUUUGAUAAUGAUUAAAUAUUGAAAUGGCUACUGAAGAACAUGUUUCGGUGUUAUGUAUGCCUAAAUGAUAGUUAAUACAAAGAAAUCAUGAAAAAGUGAAAUUAGCAUUAAAACAAUAUUGAACAGCAGCAGUGACGUGAUCUUGAAAAAUCGCCAUGAAUAGUAGAAAUGAAAUUAGGUGAUGAAUGAGAUAUAUAAUUAAAGCUUAUUGAGUCUAUUUUCAUAUGAAAGAAACAGAGUAAGCAAAAGAAGUGUAUAUUAAUAGAUAUUUAAAUUUUAGUGAGACAGGAUUAGAGCGAUUUCUGAAUCCCCUAUUCUGACUUUAUAAACUCACUAAAAUUUGUACAAAUAUAAUUAGGAGUUAUAGUUUAUAUUUAUAGAUUCCUUAGUGAAUCUACUUUCAAGAGAAACAAAUGGAAUGGUUAUUUGAAUUCUGUAUAGGGAAAAAAUUGAUUUGUACUGAGGAGAGGUCAGAGUAGUCAAAUAGUGCAACAGGGGAAAUUUUAACUAAUAAACUGUACUAAUUGGCUAGACCAAAAAAUUCUGAAAAAAAAUUAGUAAGAAGAUAUAUGAGUCUAGUUUCAGGGAAAAUUCACGAAUUUAAAUUUUGAGUUUUGUGACUCGAGUUAUGAUUUAUUUAUUGUCUAUGACGCAAGUGGGCUAUUUUAUAAGGAAUAAUGAAAUAAAUUGUUUUGAUUUGUCUAAGUAUUCGGAAAAUUUUUAAUGUUCACGGUUUAGUCCCGAACCGUUUCAAUUUCAUGUUUUAGGGUCUCGAGAGCCCUUUUUAGGUACAUAUUGAAUGAAUGUAAAUAAAUUAAUUUUAAAAGAAAAAUUUAUGCCCCGAAUUAGUAAGUUAAGUCAGGUAACGCUUCGUGCUCGACUCCGGCGACGGUCUCGGGUAAGGGGUGUUAGAGGAAUAAGGGAUGCUUUGAAAGGUGAAAGGUGUAAAAUAUUUAUAGGUGAAGUUGGUGGCUGAUUGUGCUAAAAAUAGCACCACAUCUCCCUUGAUUCUCUCCCUUCUAUGGCCGACCAUGAUGUGUGGAAAGGGGGUGAUUUAGUUGCUUGAUUUGAGCACAAGAUUGUGCUAUAUUUAGCCUGGGUUGGACGGUUUCAAAGGUAAGACUUGUUUGCCGAUUUCUUAUGUAUUUCCAACUGUAGGGACCUCUAAGAAAAUAUCCCAAAGCUGAUUUUUUGGCAGCCAUAUGCUUGUGCCGAAAUUGGGCUUGAUUCCCCCUUCUUGGAUGGUUUCUUAGUCCAAUAAUUAAUCAAACAUGUCCAUCAUGUAGCAAUACUUUUACUAGGUCAAAUUAACAUCCUUAUGACCCAGUUUUGUAUGGUCUUGCCAUCCAAAUAGAUUGGAUGUGUGCAUGUCCAUGCAACAUUUAUAUUAAUCUCAUCUUCCAUGGUCUCACUACAUAGUGAAAAUUAACAUAUUAAUAAUUAACAAGAAAAUAAUAUAAAUUAUGCAUAAAAAUCAUGUAUUAAAGCAUAAUUUCGCAUACUUCGUAAAUUCAUAUCUCAUAUUAAUAUUUAAGUAAAAUCCACUUAAUUUAUUAACAAUUACUCAAGAUUAAUAUAACUAUUAAGUCCAAAUAAUGUAAAAAUAUAUAGAAAAAUCCUAUAUUAUUUCGAGUUUACAAGUAUUCUUAUUAUCAUAUUACGUCAUGUGCCUUAGCCACUUGGACUUACACAUCCUCAUGCCAUGAUCUACUAGUCCAGUAUUUAUUUCAUUGGACGUAUCACCAUGAGUGUUUUACUUAUGCUAAAAUACCAUAGGUCUCUACCACAUGGGCCUACACGUAUCUUCAUAUCAUGAUCUGCUACUGCCCUAUCAGAGUGGUCACAUGGGGUGUUUUACUAAGAAGUUACUUAACUAGAUUUGAUUACAUACCAAACUGGUUCUUACUUUAUCAUAUUAGGUUUCAUAUGCAUGCUUACCAUUUAACUCAUUCAAACAGUACUCACACAUGUAGAAUCUUUACAAUACUUCACGUACACACUUACCAGUUAUCUGAGAUGUUGUCAUCAUAUAUGAAUCUACUUGAACAGUUCACAUGUAGAAGCCAGGAUAGAGACUCACCUGGUACUCACUUACUAUAGCUUAGAGUUCCAAACUCAAACAUCCUUCUUAAACCAAUAGUAAAAACUACUUAAAGAACACGAAACCACUAUUAAAACCCAAUUACAGAUAAUUUGCAAGCAUCUCAAUUACAGACAACCCCCAUGCAAGAUCUCUUGUUCAUAACUUAUUAUUUAUUUACUUCUUAACAGUCUUAUUCUUUAAAAAACUUAUCAUGCAAAACCAUCAAAAUUACCAGGAGGUGGAAUAUCCAUUGAUUAACUCAAAACCUUAUGUUUCAGCUUAAUAAAGAAGAAGAGAACAUUUAAGUUUAAGAAGAAUAACCAGAUAGUAAUAUUGAAAGAAGAAAAAUCAUCCCUAAGCAAACCCUUCACACCAUAUAUAGAUUUAGUUUCUCCUAAUGGAACUUGACAAAUGUCGAUUGUAUCCAAAAUUUGUCCUAAUAAAUGGCCUACAAAAUUUGAGAGAAAUAUAACGAGGAUCCUAUACAAAUAUUAUUUGACUAGUCAAUUUAGUUAGCUCCUAACCAUAUCACAUUACAAAACCCAAUUAGUACAAUGUUCAGGCAAACUGGGUGUACUAUACUUUUGGUGGUAACUCUCACCAGACUUACUCUUCGCUUGUCAUAUUCUUUUCUUAUAUAGCAGAAUACCUUGAGAUAAAAUCUUUAAUUACUUAUACGGUGGAUAUUGUAAGCGAAAAUCUAAUCCACCAAAAGACUAUCAAUAGGCAGACUAAACUACGCCAAAUAGAUAACUUAACAUGUACACAUCUUCUAAUCGAAUCCUUUAGAUUUAGGGUUUGACAACUUAGAUGAUUACGAAUUUUUUCUUUGCUUGAAUGUAACACCCAGUUUUAGCGAUUCCUGAGUUUGGCGCAUAACCUGAAAGUAGUUUGAAUGGCACAGUUCUAUCCAUCCGAUUAAUGCUUUUGGUGUAUACUUCGAGCACAUAAUUGAUGAUAGAGUAUCAAGUAAGGAUUGUUCUCUGUAUGGAGGGAUUUUGGGGUAUUAUAGGUAUCACCAAAAGUAGUGCAUAAAGUUUGUUUAGUUACUGUGCUAGUAAAGUUCUAAUGAGAUGGUCAGAAAUGAAUGAAGGAUGAAGUAUAUAUAAAUUGUAUUCUUGUAUACGUUUCUCUACAACUAUAAACCAUUAGUUAAGGCAACCUUGAAAGUUUGUGACAUUUGUCAAGUUCCACUAAGAGAACAUGAGUUUUUAUUUAUUUAUAUUGAUAAGGGCAAGAGAAGAAAAGAUAGUUAUCUUCUUUCUUUUAUUUAAAACACCAUUGUUGAUUGCCUUGGAGCUGAGCAUAGAUAUUUCUUGAUUGAGCUAAAACAAAGUAUCUGAGUGUAUGCAGAGGAUAGUUUAACAUCCUGGGUAAGUAUUAUGGCCUUGCAUGUUGACUUCUAAAAGAGUAAGUUUGUUUUUAUGUGUGUGAACAAUAAUAUGAAGAACUAAGGCUUUGCAUGGUAGUUAUCUGGGUUUUAGAUGAUGGUAAAUUUUAUACGAAAGAGUUUAAUAGUGUUCAUAUGUUUUAUAAGCAGUGAUUGUUGCGAUUUCUGGUUAGAUGAUAAAUAUGGAGUCCUGGAUGUUAUUAAUGGUUGUCAAGUGAGUAUCUAAACUAACUCAUGCAUGUAUAUAAUUUAUGUUAUAUAUUUCUGUGGGAACCAAUUUAACUAUGAAAUCGAUAUUAGAGAAGUAUAAUAUGAAGGUUAUACUAUUGAAUAAAUAUUUGCUAGGUUUAGCAUGUGUAGUCUACAUGGAAUCUGCCAAGUUAAGUAUGUGAUAAGUAUUCUAAUGAUGAAGUAUGAUUGUAUAAGCACAAAUGGAAUGCAUGUGAUGAGAUGUAAGUUAGUAGAGUGUUAUUAAUGGAUCAAAGUGUGAAGUCUUAAAUGGUGUCAAUGCAUGAAGAGCCAGCCAAGUGAGUCUGUGUUUGUUCACUGUGGUGGAGUAUAAAGGGGUCAUUGGGACUUUAAACAUGAUCUCUGAAAGGAAAGUCCAUGGCCAUGACACCCUUUGAAAGGAACUAAAGGGAUGAUAAUUACCCAAUGGGGUUCUCUCUGUGUCCCAGGACGGUGAUGGGAAAACCUCACAUAACAUGAGGUUAGGCAAAUCCAUAUCGUAAACACGCCAAAAAAGAAAGCCUUUGUGGCAGAAUAUGAAAGGUAUGCUUUUAUGGAAAACAUCAUAAGGAACGCCUUCAUUGUAACACCCCUCACCUGUAUUCAACACCAAAAUAGGGUUACGGAGCAUUACCAGGCUUACAACACAUUUAAACAUGCAUUUCACAUUCAAUUAGUCAGCUCAUAUACAUUUCAUUCACAAACAAUCAUUUUGUCCCUAAUACGAGCCUACGAGGCCCAAAACAUACAUUGGGAGUGGUUCAGGACUAAACCGAUAACUCAGGAAAUUUUGCAACACUUAGAAAAUAUUUGCAUAAAAUAGAGGACACAAGCCCGUGUGGCCCGCAUGUGUAUCUCACAAGGUCAACAGACAUGCCCAUGUCUCAGGCCAUGUGGACACUCGAAAUAGGAGCACAUGGUUGUGUCCCAGCCUGUGUCUGACUCCGUGUAACUCUUUGACUUGGGUCACACAGCAAACACACAUGCCCGUGUGGCUAGCCCGUGUGACCUAAAAAUGGCCAUACACGCCCGUGUGUCAGGCCGUGUGCUAGGCCGUGCCAAUCCUGUAGGGUAUAUUGACUUAUGCCACAUGGCCAUGCCACACGCCCUUGUGUGAGGCCGUGUGGAGCAUACUGACUUGAUUUUAAUUUCAACACCAUGGACACACGUUCGUAUAAUAUGAUCGUGUGUCACACAUGGCUGAGACACACACCUGUGUCUCUGCCCGUGUGGACAAAAAUAGGCUAUUUACCAAACCCUUUUGCCACCUAAAUUUGCAAGUACCUACACAACCCAAAUGGUACUCAUUCAUAAUAUAAGUGUGCAUCCAAAUCAACCACAAUAAAGGCUAAUAUAUAUCAUUUCAAUACCAACAACUAACAUGCUUAUAAUCUUAUAUUUUACUCUUUCAUAUUAUACUAACUUCACAUAUUCAAAUCAUCUAAUUUAGCCUUUCCAAACAUGCAUCAUCAUACACCAAAUCACAAGCACAUAGGUUUCCAAUUAUCAACCAUUUAACAUUUAAUUUACCUAUUAUCAAUGAGCACCAUGAAUCCAAACUCAAUCACACAACAUAGUUCAAUUACCAAACUCAAAACAUAAGUUAUUUGCACAUUUAUUUACAUCAUCAAAAUCACCAAUAUAAGCCAACUCACAUGGCUAUAUAUACAAUCCUAAAACAUAAACAUUUACAAGUCAAUUCAAAUGGCUCAAUUCACAAACAAAACAUAUAUCAUAAUGACCAAAGUCCCUAUACAUGCCAUAUGACCUAAAACUUAAAUUCAAAGGUACCAAAUGAUAGUUGGAUAGUGUGAAGCAAUCUCCGACAGUCCUUGAAUCUGAGCUAGCUUUGAAAUCACUAUAAAACAUAGAGAAAUACACAAAGUAAGCUUUAAAUCUUAGUAAGUUCGUAUAGCAUUUAAAAUCAAUUUACCAAAUGUGCACAAAUUAAUCAAAUAAAACAUAUUAUAUAAUUCACAUAAGGAAUAAUCAUCCUGUCACAAUUUCAUUCACAAGAUUUUUUAUCACUUUCAAUAUCUCCUUAUUUCAAUGCCUAUACGGUUCACGUACAUACCUGUACCAUUCCGUAUCAAACUCAUACUCAUCCAUAUCUACGACGUACCCGUUAAACCACUCGGAACAUUAUUGGAUAUUUGGGAAACUCACACACUUAGUGCCAAAUAAAUAGUCGUAGUUUUAUUACUUUCGCACACUAAUUGCCAAUGUACAUAUAUAGUCGAAGCUAUCUCAAUCUUGCACACUGAGUGCAAUAUAUAACUGACGUUAUCUCGACUUCGCACACUAAGUGCCUAUAAUUAGUCGAAUCGUAUUCAAACAUGACUGUAGUCUCAAAUAUACAAUUUAUGCAAUAUCAAAGCAUUUAAAAAAUAAUUAUAACAAUGCUUAUUACAUACGAAUUUACCUUAGAUACAAAAACGGCUAAACGAGUCAAUUAUUUCGUAACCUUGUUCUUUCCCUGAUCUAGAUCUGAGAUUCGCUUUUCUUGAUCUAUAUGUAAUCAAAAUCAGCUUAUUUAAUUAUCUCACUAUUCAAUUUACUCCAAAAAUUAACUUUAAGGCAUUUUUACACAAUUGCCCCUAAUGUUUCACAACUUUUACAAUUUAGUCCUUAUUUCAUAAAACACAAAUUAAUGCAAUUUAAGACUAACUCAUGCUAGCUAAAUUUCUCUAAUACUCAUAUCAGCCCAUAUUUUUCCAUUUAUUUCACAUUUUAACCACAAAGUUUCCAUAUUUCACAAUUUAAUCCCUAUUUUGCAUUUUCACUAAAAAUCACUUGACAAAACUUGUAUAUCUAUCAACAAGCAUUCAAAAUCUAUCAAGAAAUUUCACAACACAUGCUUAUUCAUCAAUGGCAUCAUCUAAAAUCUUUAACAGUUUUGUAAAUUAGUCCCUGGGCUAGCUAGACCCUAGCUGCAAUGAUCUCAAAAACAUAGAAAUCAUUAAAAAUCGAGUCUAAAUGACUUACCAAUUUAGCCUCAAAUUGACCGAACCCUAAAUUCUUAAAAAUAGCUUCUUCCCUUUUUUUUCGGUUGAAGACGAAGAAAACAAAAAGAUGAUAAUUUAUUUUAUGUUAUUUUUACUUAAGUUAAUACAUAAUUUACUAUUUUAACCUUUAAUAAAACAUUAAAAACUCACAUAAACCAUGUCCAUAUUUGUCCACUCAAAUAAUAAAUGGUUUAAUUUCCACAUAAAUCCCUCAACUAUUUAAUUCCACAGCCAUUAGUUACUUUUAUCUAAUAGAACUCCACUUUUACACUUUACGCGAUUUAAUCCUUUUUAUCAAAUUGACUAGUCAAACGAUAAAAUUUCUGAAUGAAAUUUUCACACAAUCAUUCAAUCAUGCUUUAAACAUUAAAAUAAUAAUAAAAUAAAUAUUUUGACUUUAAAUUUGUGGUCCCGAAACCACUAUUCUGAUUUGACUAAAAACGGGUUGUUACAUUCAUGGCGCAUUCUUAAGAAUCGCCCUCGUGGCAGACUAUGAAUGGAUCGCUUUAGUGGCAUGUUCUAUCUUAUUGCUGGUAAGGUGUAUUUACUAAGUCAAAGUGGUGUGGACUAUCAGGGAAAUCUGGUAAGUUAUGAAUUUGAAUGUCUGUCUCUAUGGUAAUAUAUGAGUAAGUUCUAGUAGAUCUAUAAUAUGUAUAACCAAGAUAAUGUAUUGAUAUGCUUUGGAAUAAGAGUUGAAGGAAGUUUUAAGGGAUUUUCAUGAAAAGAUAUGCAUAUUUGUAUGCCAAUAAGGGUGUCUAUUAUGAUUAUCUGUAAGUAAGAAAAGUAAAGGGCAUCACAUAUUAUUCCCAAUUUAUUCCAAAAAUCUAAUUUAAUGUUGUUUUGAAUUAUGAGAUUCUGUAUAACAUGAUAUGGAGUUCAUUUGGAUAUUAUAGGAAAUAAAAUUAUUAGUAUGAAUAUGUGCAUGGAAUUAGAUUAGGGUAGGUCUGAGAUUGAACCACAUGUAUGAAAUGUUGCGUAAGUAUUUGCUAUGUAUAUGUAUCUGCCGAAGAUAAUGUCAGCAAGAAAUUGAUUUGAAAUAAGAGAUUCAUGAAUUGAAUAAAAGGAUUUCCUCAGUAACAAGAUAUGGAAGAUUAAGUAUGAUAAGUGUAUGACAAUUGUCGCAUAUAAGAGUGAUAAGUUCAUAUAAGGUAUCAGCGGCAACAAAUGGCGCAGAGUAGAACUUGAUUCAUGGAAAGUCCUAAAGUAUUACAGAGGUACUGUUAAUGAGCUUACUAAGUACUUUAAUAAUUACGAGGUUGCUACUUCUUUUCAAGUUUGCUAAGAAGUGAGUUCGCCUGGAGGGACAACGCCAAAAGUACGCCAAGCUAGUGGCAGAUUGGGCUAUUAUGCAUAUAGAGGACUGGUGACACAACUUUGAAAAAUUUAUUUUAAGUCUAUCUUCAAUAAUUUUCUAACUUGUAAAAAAAUUCUGAACCAGAUGAGUUGUAAUAAUAUGUUUAACAUGUAUUCCAUUUCAAAUUUUUAAAGAUGUUGAGAUUUUCUUUUAAGAUUUCAAAUAAUAGUUUUAAAAUAAAUGAGAAAUUUUAAAUUAUUUUGUUAAAAGUUUUGUAUCAUCUAGUAACACCCGAGAUCUAGACUUGGUAAAUCGGGUUGGGUUGAAGGUGUUACAUUGGACUUUCUUGACAAGCUUAAGGCGUGUAUUUUUACUAUUUUUGAUUGCAUUCAUAUCUUUCAUGAACUGAUAUAAUGAACUAUUUUGCUGAUAAAUCAAUACAUAAGGGUUGGGACCAAGGUAUUGUUGAUAAUCCAAGUAGUUGAGGAUGUUUCAUAUUGGAGAAACAUUAACUCAGUAGAUCAGACUGCUAAGAAAAUCCCUUUGGAAAUGCUAGUAGGGCAUGAAACCAAUAUGAAGCCUAUUGAGCUAUCAGUGGAGCUACCACAUAUGAGAAAGGUGAGUUGUGCAUCAAAUUUUGGGGGUAAAGUGGUGAUGCAAGUUGGAUAGUUGAGAUGAGUAAAUGCUACGAGUAAGGUACGUUUCAAACACCUUAGAAGUGUUUUUCAUUUUGAUUUACUGUUGGCUUUGUAAAGACACAGGGGACCUUUCAGAGUUCUGAAGCAGAGAAGCCAAUGGGCUUACAAACUAGAGUUAGCGAGAAUACUCAAGGUUAACUCGGUGUUCAAUGUGGGCAUGUCAAAGCCGAUGCGUGUUGUAACACCCCUAACCCGUAUCUGUCACCAAAAUAGGGUUACGAGGCAUUACCGAAUAUUACACGUCAUUCACAAACAUUUAUGUAUUCAUUAUCGUAAACUAUUCACAAACAUUCACAUUGUCCCUUACAAGGUUAUACGAAACCUUCAAACAUGCUUAAAAGUGGUUCGGGACUAAACCGAUCACAUAUAAAAGCUUUCAGACACUUAGAAAAAUUAUGCAAUCACAGGUCACACGCCUGUGUGAACAGGCCAUGUGACUCACACGGUUAUAAAACACGCCCAUGCCAAGGCUGUGUGCCUCACACGGCCACCAGACAUGCCCGUGUGUCUAGGCCGUGCUCGAGACUGACUUUAAAUUGUAGGACUACCCCAGGAGACACACGGCCAUGUAACAUGACCGUGUGUCACACACGACUGAGACCGUGUGGACAAAAAUAGGCCAUUUGCAAAGCCAAUUUGCCACCCUAAUCUCAAGCACACAAAGCAACCAAAAUAGCAUCAUUUCAAUACACUUAUAGGCAGCCAAAUUCACCAAAACAUACACAUAUCAUGCCAUCUAAACACGACCAUUUCAACAUUACAUAAACAAGCCACACAUAAGACAUCAAAUACAUCACAUUAUUAACCUUUCAAGCACAUAUCAUAAGCCAACUUAAAUGGGUAAAACAUACCAACAUUUACAACCAAAAGUAAGCCAAAUCUCAUGGCUAUAAUCUUAACACAAAAUAUAUCAUAUACUCACUACCCUAAACAUGCCAUACAUUCAUAUUUACAACUUCAAAAGUGCCAAAAUAUCAUUCGAUAGUGUGACAAUGAUCCUUAACUAUCCUCGAGCUCGCGGUAGCUUCAAUUAUCUAUAAAAAAAUUGAAAAAACACACAAAGUAAGCUUUCCAAAGCUUAGUAAGCCAUAUACAAAUAAAUACAACCCAUAAAUCAACUAUAAUUUAAUACAUUCAUUUAGGAUUCAUAACUAUUUCACAUAUACAUUUUAUGAAGUACAUCAUACUCAUUUUUUCAUAUACAAAUCAUAUAAUCCCAAUUCACUUUACUUACACAUAUAGUAUAUUUCACUUUCAUGGAUAUCAUAUCAUCUUUUAAUCACAAUUAAACAUAUACUUACUUCUCAUUCUCAACUUUACACACGUUUUAAACAUACCUGAAUCAGAUACACAUUUCAUAUAUUUAUUCAUUUCUUGGAGUGCCCGUUGAACCGUACUGAAUUAAAUAGGAUACACAGAUAGCUCGGAAAGCUCGUACAAUGCCAACGUCCCAGACGUGGUCUUACAUGUAAUCAAAUAUCGAUACCACUGUCCCAGAUAGGGUCUUACACAAAAUCAAAUAUGAUGCCGAUGUCCCAGACAUACACGUAAAUCUUAAAUCGAUGCCAACGUCCUAGACGUGGUCUUACACCAAAUCACAUAUCGGAAUCCUAUAUCAUGACAUAUGUAUCCUAACUAUUCCUAUGAUUCGUACGGGACUUUCCAAACGUAGUCACAUUAUCGGAACUUUCUUGGAUUUCUCAUAUUCAACUCAAAUAGCCAUUCAUCACUAUUCAUUAACAUAUAAGUCCUAAUAAUUCAAUUUAAACACAUUUAUUUGUAUAUCGACUUACCUCGUACUUAUUCGAACGGAUGAAAUCAGCUAAUCAACGACUUUCGACUUUUCCCGAUCUAAUUAUGUUUUCUUUGGUUCUUGAUCUAUAUAAAUUCAAAUUUAACUCUUUUAAUCAAAAAAUCAUUCAAUUCAAUCCAUAUAUACAUAUUUAGGGCAUUUUACAAAUUAGCCCUCACAUUUUCACAUUUUAACACUUUAGUCCCUAUUUUAUAAAAUCACAAAAUACACAUAAUUUCAUAUUACACAUGCUAGGACAAAUUUUCCUCUAACCCAUAUAAGCCCAUAUAAUUUAUUUAUUUCACAUUUUAGUCCCUCAAAAUAUCAUUUUCAUAAUUUUGCCCAUAAUAAUCAAAUUCAUUAAAAAUCUCAAUACAAAACAUAUUUAUCUAACAUCAAGCUUCCAUAUUUCAUCAAUUAACAUUAUAAAGCUCACAAAUCAACAAUGGCAUAACUCAAAAUCAUCAUCAAAUUCUGAAAUUGAGGCAUGGGCUUAAUAGAACACAAAUCAACAAUCACAAAAACGUAGAAAUUAUCAAAAACGGAUCAAAAAUCACAUACCUAAUAGAUCUUCAAAGUGCCGAAUGUUUUUUAUGCUUCAAACCCUAAUUUUAUUCUUCAAUUUCGGUGUCCAUUAAGAUGAAUGAAUCAAAUUUUGUCUUUUUUUUCCUUAAAGUAUUAACUAAUUUACACAUUUACUAAAUUAACCUUUUUUCAUAACAUUAAAACUCCACUACCAUUAGGCAUUUGUGUCCAUCCAUUAUUCCAAUGGUCAAAUAUCAAUAUAAGGACCUCACAUUAACUAAGCCAUACCAAUUAGACACUUUUAUCAAUAGAAUGCAACUUUUGCAUUUUCUGAAAUUAGGACUUUUUUUUAAAUUAAGCACACAAACGAUCAAAUUUUUAUACGAAACUUUCACACAUAUUAAUUCAUAUAUUAUAAGCAUGAAAAAUAAUAUUAAAAUAUUUUUUUGACUCGAAUUUGUGGUCUCAAAACCACUGUUCUGACUAGAGUCUAAACCGAGUUGUUACAUAUGUGGAUCAAGGGGAUCUUAAUCAAGGCAAGUCACAAUGUGGGCAACUAAGAGAGGGGGGAUCUCGCAAAUGAUAUGUACCAAAAAUGAGUGAAACGAUUUGAGUUAGGAGACGACAUAAUCCAAGGCAAAGGUUCUAAGGGGUGGGACUUCCCGAUAGUGAGACUAGUCGGGAAAAAGCCAAGGCAUCGAGAAAGUUUUGGGGCGAGUCAAACUAGUGCCAUUACAAGGAUACAGCAAGGGUGUUGCAAGAAUGAGUGGGGCAAAAUGUCAUGGGGCGCGAAUCAAAGGCAGUGACAAUUACAACAAAGUGUUCUAUAGAGAUUUACAUAUUGAAUAGGGCUCAUUUGACCCACUUGAACGGGUUUGAUUCGAAGAAUAAGUGACGAAGCCCAUCGACUUAAAACCUUGGUGGCCCAACAAAGAAGUUAUGGGAAAUUAGGGCUACCUUGGUAAAUAGGGAAAGCAAUCUGAUAAUAUUUGGUUUUGUAAUCUUGGAGAUUGUGUAAAUCCCUUAAUUGUAGAUAAGCUUCGAUCUCGUCUAUCGAUGUAAUUCAAUCUAUACCAUCGAUUUUGGGUGAGCUCAAUUAUAAAUAGAGAGCCUCAUUCUCAUUUGUAAUCAUCCAUUAUAUCCAUUAUUAUUUGAGUUAAAGAAUAUAUUGAGAGCAUUUACUCAAAUACCUUGUGUGCAUUACUUUUUUGUGGUUAUUCUACUCUUUCGAGCUUUUUUUGUUUUUGAGAUUACUUCCUCUAUAUUUUGGUACCUUAGAGGAAUUCUACGAGAAUCCUUAUUUUGCGAGAGUUAGGCUGACUUAGGCGUAUUUGAAGCAAAGGAAUCACCUAAGGCCGCACGUAUUGCAAGACAAAAGGUCUAGUUUGUGGCACUAACAUGUGAAUCUUUGUCAACAAUGUCAAAACUCCUUUAACAUGAUACAAAUGUUGGGUGCAGUGGUAAGACAUAUUACACUCUAAAGGGAAGAACGUAGAUUCAAACUUUGGAAAUGACAUUAUUGGAAGGGGCAACAUAGAUCGUAAAAUGGACAUGAAAAAUUUUAAAAAAAGGUAAACUACACCCAAGGUUACUAAACUAUUAGUACGUUUACAUUUUGGUCACUCAACUUCAAAAAGUUACAAAAUGAUCGUAGAAUUAUUUGAAAUUUUUCAUAUAACUCAUUAAAUUAUUUGAAAGUUAUUAUUUAAGUCAUUGAGUUGUUAAGUUUUUUUUUUAAAGUCCGGCUAGCGAGCUCUAAAUGACAAUUCAAUUAUCAGCAUGGUGGAUUGAUACCCAUCAAUAAGUAGAAAAACAUACUUUAGACCCAAGUCGAUCUAACGAUCAAUGUUAGAGAUCGGAGAAGAAAGUUGUUUGGAUUUUGAUUUGCAUAUUCAUGACGUUCAAAGUUGUUUCAUGAACAAAAAAGAAAACUGUAGAAGGGAAGGGAAAGAGAGCGUUCGAUUGGUGCAGGAGGUACGAACAGAGAAAGCCAACCAGUAGCGAUUUUAAUAGCUCAAUGACUUAAAUAAAAACUUUCAAAUAAUUCAAUGAUUAUUUUGUAACUUUUUAAAGUUGAGUGACAAAAACUUAAACUUAAUAAUAGUUUAAUGUUCUUUGGUAUAGUUUGCCCAAAAAAAUCGUGCCCUCAUAGAUUGAAAGAUAGCCCUUUUUUUUUUUUUACCUUCAACCUAUGAGCAAGCUUAAAGACCGCCAACCUUAAUACAUUUUUGUUACCUAAAUUCCUCAAGUUUUUUUUGGUCUGUCAAAUAAUACAAAUUUCACCUCAGAUAGUUACAUUACAGGAAGAAUAGAAUCAUUACUUGCAUUUCUCUGUUGAUACAACAGUUCGUCAGUUAUAUUAUGUAUUUUGUGAUUUAGGGUCAUAUGUAAGGAUUUUAUCCCUCUUGUUUUAACAUCAAAAUGAAAACACAAACACAAAGAAAAAACCAAUAUUUUAUUUUCAGCGAAUCCUUUGCAUCAGACAAUACUAGCACUACAAGAAAAAAAACUUUUAGCGGCGCUUUUUUAGCCUUUAGCGGCAUUUUUAAGCACCACUAAAACUAUUUGCAACGAUUUUACAAGCGUCGCAAAAAACGCCGCUAUAAUUUUUGCUACGAGAAAAGCGCCGCUAAAAAUCAUGGCUUUUAACAACGUUUAUUAGGAAAGCGCCGCUAAAAGCCAUGACCUUUAGCAGCGCUUUUCUCACAAACGCCGCUAUAAAAUAUAUCCUUUAAAAAAUAUAUUUUAUUUUCAUUAAAUAAUAUUUAUUUCUAUGAUAAAUACUAUAUUAUGUUUAAUUUUUCAAAUUUGAACUUUAAACUAUAUCCUUUUAAGGAUAAAUAAAAAAUAUUAAUUAAAUUAAAUUUUCUAUUAAAAUUUAAACUUCAAAACUAAAUAUAAAAAUUAAUAAAUUUAAAUUAACGAAACAAGAACAUUGAUCAAGUUAAAAAAAAAAAAAGAGAAUGAAGAAAUUAAGGGUCAAACAUUAGCUCCAAUAAUUGUUCAAAAUAUAAGACAGCUAUAUUCAAAUAGAAACUAAAUAACAACUAAAGCAUCCAAUGGAAUUUCACUCUUCAUCACUAAAUGUUUCCUCAUAAACAUGGCUUCAUCCAAAACAAAACCUCAUAACCAUUACAAUUUGCGUUUUAAGCAGAAGCUGCUGCAACCUUUUUUCUUGCUGCUGCAACCUUCUUUCUUGCUGCUGCUACAGUACCUAUGCAUCACCCCCAAUAAAAAAUUAGAACAUUUUGAAAGAAAAAAAAACCCAAAAUUUCUUACAAGAAUAGAAAUACGCAAUGGAACUAAAAUCAGAAAGCAAUGAGCCUAAGGACAUUAGCAUUUUCCUACAUUCCCUGAAACCUGUCUUGAACCUACGAGGAACGUGGCGAAGAUACCUCUAUACACCGGUGAUGGAGAUGUUAGCCUCAUCUAAUUGAAAUCAACAGCUGGAAACACAAAUAAUCACACAAGUUAAAAAACCCAAAAUAAGUACUUAAACACUUCAAUUUGCAACAUUUAAGCACUUCAAUUUACAGCAUUUAAACACUUCAAUUUGCAGCAUUCAAACACUUCAAUUUGCAGCACUUUAACAUCUCAAUUAACAACAUUUAUACACCUCAAUUACAGCGAUAAAACAUCUCAAUGUCCAGCAACUAAACACUUCAAUUUGCAGUACUUAAACACUUCAAUUUGCAACAUUUAAGAACUUCAAUUUACAGCAUUUAAACAUUUCAAUUUGCAGCACUUUAACAUCUCAAUUAACAACAUUUAUACACCUCAAUUACAGCGAUAAAACAUCUCAAUGUCCGGCAACUAAACACUUCAAUUUUUAGUACUUAAACACUUCAAUUUGCAAUAUUUAAGCACUUCAAUUUACAGCAUUUAAACACUUCAAUUUACAGCAUUCAAACACUUCAAUUUGUAGCACUUUAACACUUCAAUUUAUAGCAUUUAAACACUUCAAUUUGCAGCACUUUAACAUCUCAAUUAACAACAUUUAUACACCUCAAUUACAGCGAUAAAACAUCUCAAUGUCCAGCAACUAAACACUUCAAUUUGCAGUACUUAAACACUUUAAUUUGCAACAUUUAAACACUUCAAUUUACAGCAUUUAAACACUUCAAUUUACGGCAUUCAAAUACUUCAAUUUACAGCACUUUAACACUUCAAUUUACAGCAUUUAAACACUUCAAUUUGCAGCACUUUAACAUCUCAAUUAACAACAUUUAUACACCUCAAUUAUAGCGCUAAAACAUCUCAAUGUCCAGCAACUAAACACUUCAAUUUGCAACAUUUUAGCACUUCAAUUUACAGCAUUCAAACACUUCAAUUUGCAGCACUUUAACACUUCAAUUUACAGCAUUUAAACACUUCAAUUUGUAGCACUUUAACAUCUCAAUUAACAACAUUUAUACACCUCAAUUACAGCGAUAAAACAUCUCAAUGUCCAGCAACUAAACACUUCAAUUUGCAGUACUUAAACACUUCAAUUUGCAACAUUUAAGCACUUCAAUUUACAGCAUUUAAACACUUCAAUUUACAACAUUCAAACACUUCAAUUUGCAGCACUUUAACACUUUAAUUUACAGCAUUAAAACACUUCAAUUUGCAGCACUUUAACAUUUCAAUUAACAACAUUUAUACACCUCAAUUACAGCGAUAAGACAUCUAAAUUUCUAGCAACUAAACACUUCAAUUUGCAGUACUUAAACACUUCAAUUUGCAACAUUUACUACUAAUAUAUAAUUUUAGGAUUCAUUAACUAAGAAAAGGAAGGAAAAAUAUUCUUACUGUCAUGGAAUAUCGCCUGCAACCAGCCAUUCUCCUUCUUUGUCCUGGUAGGUGAGAAUAUAAUCAUCUUCAUCACAUUUCUUGUCUGUUCAUGACAUGAAAAAGAAAAAAGCAAGCUGAAUAUUGAGAUUUUUGGUAUUCUUUUAUCUUUUGAGGAAUUUAUGUAUAUAAUCAAUGACUUUACCUUUGGCAAACAUGGUGAUCAAGGAGUGAUUUAUAUUUUAAAUCAUGAAAAUCUUUUACUUAAGGAAAAUAAUGUUUUAGUAUAUAUAUUGUUGGAGUGAUUUAAACCUUUUUGGAUCUUAUGCGUUUAAAGACAGAAUCAAGUUGUUGCUCCAAAUUUUGAAGCUCUCUAAGACUAAAAUUUUAGAUAUCUUCUCCUUCGUAAUGCCUAGAAAUAUAAUUAAUUAUUUAUUAAAAGAGAAAGAUGCAUGCCUUGAAUGUAUCUGAAAUUUGAAGCCAUUGGGGGUACCUCAGGUUUCUUUGUAAAGUCUGCAUUCUAGCUUUAAGUUUUGCAUGUUCCCAGGUCCAGUUUCCCUGUAAAAAAACAUAUUGAAAUCAUCCCAAGUCAACAAGUAGAACAUAUUUGGUGUAAUAACUAUUAUGAUGUUGAUGUAACAAUUUAAGUCAACAAUAAUAAAGCAUUCAAAAAAUAUAUAAAUUCUUUAAAAUUUCAAGUAAUAAAUAAAUAUUCAACUUUAUUUCAAUUUAGAUAUCCCGUUGAAGUUGAUUUUCAAUGUAGUUUUUUAAAUUAUAAAAUGAAGUUAAAUUUUCUGAAAAAUAUACAAAAAUUUAUUAAAAAUUUGUGAAAGAUCUUAAGAUUAUAAAAAUAACUCAACAUCUUUAUCACUCUUAAGAUCUUGUAUAAACUCAACAUCUUUAUUGAAAGGCAGACUCAACAUACCAAACAGUUUAACCUCAAAUUUGCAUUGGUUCAGAUGUCUUUACUCACGUCUUUAUUGACAGGUUUUAUGGAGACUAAUUGUUCUGCUUUCUAAAAAGUGAAUCUAAAUGCAUAACUAAUAACCAGCACCCCUAUCAUUUAAAACACCAACAAAUAGAAAAUGACUACAUUACUUCAAAGGACAAAUAGAAAGUACUCAAUUUAUCACGUAGACUACAUUACUUCAAAGGAUCCAGAAUUGAAUGCAAAUAGAAUCACAAUCAAUCCAAUCCCAUGAAAUUCAAAGAAAACAUACAGCAGAACUUAGGGGAGAAAAACAAAUAAGCAAGAGAACAGACGCAUACCAGUGGGAAUAUCUUUAAGCUGAGUACCACGACCCUGAAAAGCAAAUCAAAGUUCAAAAAACAAUCAUAACACAAAGAAAAUAAAUUGAAUGGCCUACACAUGACUCUGAAGAGCUGGGUUUUCAAAUUUCCCCAGAUAUUUAUAGGUUUGAUUCACAAUUAUUACCCAAACUAUCAUACAGUCCAUAAAUUUGCUUUCCACCAUUCUAUUUUCUCUCUCCAUCCAAUCUCCCUUUUCCAUUUCUUGCUUUUAUCUCUUCUUCUUCCAUGUCUCCUCAACCCGACCCAUGCCUGACCCGAUUUGUAUUAUCUGCUGGCGAAUGCAUUCCUUUUUCCUUCACUUCUGGAGAAAACAAUUGCUGAGGAAACGCCUCUUGCUUCUUAUUCUGGUCUCCAAAUCAAACGUUUGUUUUCUCUUUUGAAUAUCCGAUUUGAGUUUUUGGAUGGGGGAAAAUUAUAACAAGUUGAAAAAAUCAACGGCUUCACAAACCGGAAGAUUGGGGAGGGUACGUAACGCCGUGGGUAAAGGAAAUAGCCGAGAAUUUGACUUGCUUGAAAUCGGUGCAUUUUAGGAGGAUGAUUGUUAAUGAUUCAGAUUUGGAAGUAUUGGGUAGGUCUAGGGGGGAAUUUGGGGGAUUUGGUUAACGAGCGGGUAAACAAAAAAUAAUUUUUGGGAGUGAGCAGAUUUUGCCUUUUUUUAUAAAAAAAUAAUGGCCCUUUUGAGCUUUUUUUUAAAAACGACGGUAAUUCUUAAUUUUUUGCGGCAUUUUUACAAAAAACGCCACUAUAACUUAAUUAAUUGUGGGGUUUUACCCAAAAACAUCAUUAUUGCUCAAUUUUAAUUUUUUUUCAUUUUUAACACAUUUUUGUCUAUUUUUUUCUUUCAAAAUUUUUGUGCUGAGAUUAUCAUUUUUUAAAUUUUUUUAAUUUUGAAUAUUAAACUUUUUAACUGAAAUAUGGACUAAAAUAUUAAAUAUUAAGUUUUUAAGUUUUUAAUUUUUUAAUUUUUAAUUUUAAAUAUUAAAUUUUAAAUUUUAAAUUUUAAAUUUUUUUGAAGAUUUUUAUAAUUUUUAAAUUAACAUAUAAAAUAAAAAAAGGAAACUUUAACAGAAAUAAAAUGGAAUCGAUGAAUUAAAAAAAAUACAAAAUAACACAACAAUACAAGCAUUAUUCUUUUAAGUAUGGUCCGCAUUAGUUGUUUAGAUUUUUAUAUAAAUGACAUUUAAUUAUAUGUAUACACCUAAAUUUUGAUAGAGAUACAUCUCAGAAUUAUAUAUGAAUUUUAGUUUAAUAUGUAAUUGUAGACGUGAAAUUCUAAUUGUGGUUUAAAUGUAUAAUUGAAACUUUAAUUUUUAUCUAAUCAUACCCAUUUAAAAAAAUAAAUACAUCAAUAUAUUUUUAUAUUGAAUAAAUAUAAAUAUUUAUGUAUGCAAUAUAUAAAUAUAAAAUAAUGUUAUAUCAAUAAUUGUGUUAAUAAUUUACAAGACCAUAAACCCUAAACACUAAAACCCUAACUAUAAAACACUAAAUCCCAAAUCAUAAACCAUAAACCAUAAACUUUAAAACACAAAACCAUAAACUCGAAAUAAUAAACAUUAUUGUGUAAACAAUGUGCUUCUAUUGUAUAACCAUAAUUUAUAAUAAUUAUUGUAAUUUUAUGUGACCAUAAUUAUAAUUAAUUAAUUAAGUAAUCUAAAUCCUAAACUCCUAAUCCCUAAUCCCUAAAUCAUAAACCUUAAAUCUUAAAACAUAAACCCUGAACCCCUAACCCCUAAACCUUAAAUCCCAACCCUUAAAACAUAAUCCCUAAACCCAUAAUCCAUAAACCUUAAAAUAGUAACUCAUAAACCUUAAACCCUUAACCAUAUGCCCUAAAUUGUAAACCCCAAACUAUAAUGAUAAUUAAUUCAAUAUUUUAAAAUUAAUAUUAUCCUUUUACAAUUAUAUAAUAAUAUAUUUAACAUAUAAAUUAAAAAACAAUCAGUCAUAUACCAAAAAUGUGUCAUUAUUUUUUAUGAAGAAUUUAAAUAUUCAAUUAAAAAUAAAUUUUAUUUUAAUAUAAAUAAACCAGUUAAAUUAUAAAUAGACAGAUGAAAUAUUUUUUGCGGCGUUUUUCAAAAAGUGCCGCUAAUACUUGAUCUUUAGCAGCGUUUUUAAAAAAGUGUCGCUAAAGCCACUAAAAGCUCAAUAUAAAAAGACGUCAUUUUGCAAAACUUUUGUGUGGCGCCGCUAAAGAUCGAGCAUUAGCGGCGUUUUUUAAAAAGCGCUACUAAUACUCUAUAUUUUGCGGCAUUUUUCAAAAAGCGCCGCUAAUGCCACUAAAGCUCAGCAUAAGUUUUUGCGGCGUUUUUUAAAAAGCGCCACUAAAGGUAAACCUAUAGUGGCGUUUUUUUAAAAGCGCCGCUAAUGCUCGACUAUAGUAACGUUUUCGUUCAAACGCCAGUUUUGCUGUAGUGAUAGCAAAUUUGGCUAAAGAAAUAAAAAACACAACCGCUAGAGAAUCAUAGAGAAACUGGUCUAUAAGACACCAAGUUAUACUCAGCCUUCUUUAUACGACACAAUUCGAGUGGCGGUAAUGUGAUGCUACUGUUACUGUUUUAUAAUUUUGUUUCUUUUUGGUGCAGUUAUUCACCAUAAUUGAGUCAGUGAGAUAAAUACGAGCACAUCAUGAUUACAAUCUAAUGAUAAGCACUCCAGGCUACAUCUACCAUCCUUAACUUCCCUACUGCUCAAACAUAGCUCCUCUUCCCAAAUCGUUCCUUGUGUUUGGAGGGCAUAGUUGCAGAACACACAUUCAAAAAUGAAAUGAUUUCUUGUCUCCUGCCCUCAGCGACAAAGCACACACUGACCAUUAACGUCACGUCCCCACUCCCCAAUAUGCAAAUCUGUAGAGGAUGGCCAUCCAAAAGAUAUUAUGGCAUUUGCAUGCCUAAGGAAGAGGACAAAGGAACCACGACAGCCUGUCCUUUCUGAAUUUUACUGUAUCCAUACUUUAGCCACUGAGGGAACUUCCACACUAAUGUUCCUUGUCUCUGCUUAAAGCAGCUUCCUCCAAUCCAAUCGCAGCUGCUUCUGUGAGUUGCAGCAGAUUGCCCGAUGGACCUUCACUUUCCUGCACUUAAGAAUUCACAUUGACAUUACAUUAAAGUCCAGCUUUCCUCAUUUUUAUCUACUAAAAAUUUCCUUUGCUCAUCAAUUAUUGGUUCAGUGUUCUAUUUUCUUAAGUUACAAUGCAUUGGGAUAGCAAAAAAAUCUCCAGCAUAACAGAUUUGCAUUUCGAUUGCUGAAACUUCACUGAAAUGCUCAUUAUUGCUUAUUCUUCUAUCUUAAUAGAAUACUUAGCACAGAAAAAUAAAGAAUAUACUGUACAUGGAACCUAGCUUAUUCUUCCAUCUCAAACAUUGACACUUUCAAAAGGCUGCAAAUAAUGCCAACAUGCUACUAGUUUUAACUAAACAAAUCUAUAUAUAUUUAAAAAAAAGAGAGAGGAGGGAAAUGGAAGGAAAAGAAAUGAAACUUGAAUAUAACUAAUCAUAUCAGUUAAAUCAUUGGAGUAUGGAUGUUGUUCAAGUAGACUCGGUAUCUUUGGCCAAAAAACAUGCAACACAAAAAAAUAACUAAAAUUGUCAAGUUAGAUCCCUCCGGCCACCCUUGGAAGUGCUUGUUUCAAGCGUAAAUUGCUUGUUGCGAGCAUUAUCAUCCCAUCCCCUUGUUUCAUCUUUUUCAGAAACCUGGAAGAAAACCAACUCAAAUUUAUAUCCCAUGAUAUCAAUGAUGUAUUCCACCCCCUGCACACCAACCUGAAGCUGAAGCCAACAAAAAGCUGGCUAGUCCAGUGUGCAAGAGAUGGAAUAUAACAUAAACCCAUGUCACCAAAGCCUUCUUUUUUUCUAGCAAGCAGAGAUGCCAAAAUUUAUAUAAUGGUGCAAAAAGAAAAAAACAAAAAAACAUAAUGGAGUUGAACUCAAAGGUUGUUCAUGCAUCAAAAAGUGAAAAUAACGCAUCAAACACCCUUUUCAGGAUUCAGAAAAUCCCGGUAAUUUACUUGGUGGGAAAAAAAUAAACUUGGAAAAGUGGUUUGUGAGGUGGAAAUCACAAACAAUUAGACCUGGCCUGACAUCAUCCAUUGAAAGUGGGGUGUCCCAAAAUCUUUUAGAAUCUUUGCUGCAUUUUGUUCAUGAAUUCUACUGAGUGCAAAAUCUUAAAGACAUCUUAUUUACUUCAAUCGAAGGAUUGUUUAUGACUGCGGCCAGUUAUUAAUUGGUUAAUGAUCUUUCCACUUUGUUUACAAAGUCAGUCUUAUUCAUUUAACCUAAAACCAAGCUGAUGAUGUGUAGGUAAAAGUCGUAAUCUUUUAAUAAAUUCAAAUUUGGAUCAAAUGUAAAACCACAAUAUAUGAUUUGAAACUAGUUUGUGACCCAUCUACAGUUUGCUUUUAUUUUUUUUACUUAAUACAUUAGUAGUGAAAAUUUUGAAUCUACAAAUAAAGUUAAAAGAAUAAAAUAGGGGCAGGACUAAGAUAAAAAUAAUGAAAGAGGGUAAUUCAGGGUUUCCGUACCGGUUGAAACCCUUCGUUCCGGUACUAACCUAGAAUAACAAAAUUUAGGUUUUAUUUCAGUGUAAAUUUCAGUCGGUAUAUAUCGAUUGGUUUCGGCCAUAUAAAAAAAUAUAUUUUAAAUUUAAAUUUAAAUUUUUUAAAUUUUUAUUAUUUAUUUUGGUUUUUUUGAAUUAUGAAUUGUUUUUUAAUAUCAAUAGAAUUAUGAAUUGUUAUACGCAGAGCAGAGUAUGGAUGAUUUUAUUGUUUAAUUUAUAGAAUAAUUUUGUUGCUAAUUAAUUUUGAGCUUAUUUAAUCAUUUUUUUAUUUGUGAAAUUUAUUAAAAAUAUUUUAUAUAGUUAAUGAGUAUUUUAUUUUGUUUUUUUAUCUUAAAAUUUACAUAGGUUAAAAUUUGAACUCAUGCAAUGACAUUUUUAAAAUCUUUUCUUUGCCACUUCAACCAAAACAUUAAUUUUUAAAAUAUUUGUAAAUAUUUUUUAUAUACAUAUAUCAAUUAUUUUUUAAAAUAACUAUAAAAAAAUAAUACACUGAAAUAGACCUGUAUCAAUACGUACCGCUACUAAUAGAAAAACAUUACAUUCAUUGAUAUGAUAUUAACUACCUUAGUUUGUAGAUUUGAGUGCAAUGAUCUUAAACACCCAAACUAGUUGUCCAUCUGGAACAAAACUCCCAAUAAAAAAAUUAGAAUAGUUUUCCAUCAUAAAAAAAAUUAACAAUACAAAAAAUAUUUAAACUAAUGAAAGUAUACAAAUCCCUAGAAUCUAGCAACAUAAUAGGAGAAAUGCUGAAGGUGCUAAGAGUGGCAGGUAGGCUAAAUAUGUAGCUAAAAGAGUCCAUUAAUUGUGUAACUCCCAAGUAAUUCAGUAAAAAAUUCGUUUCUUUGCGGGACCUAUUCAAAGUCCAUGAGAUUACGUCUUAUUGCCUUGUUUUUCUUCCGAACAUAUGUUUUCAAAGGUAUUGUUGUAUCAUUACACCCUCCCUAGAAACUUGACUUGUCCUCUAAUUGAAAUGGAGGGAAUUGUUCAGUGAUAAAGUCAUAACUUUCCCAGCUUACUUCUUCGAGAGAUCUAUUCUUCCAUUGAAUCAACAAUUCCACAGGAGUACCAGAAAGAGAAACCCAACGUUAAGAACCUGUUCAGGUUGUAAAGUUAACUCCCACUCAUCAUUAGUGGGCAAUGGAAUAGGAAAUGAAGGAGCUUCUUGACCAUGAGAAGGGCGAAGAAACCAGACAUGAAAAAUAGGUAUAUUUUGGAGUCAGAUGGCGACUCCAGUUCAUAUGCAACAGGACCAAUACGGCGCAAGAUUUGAUAUGGACCGAAAAAUCGAGGGGAGAGUUUCACAUAUUUUCGAUAAGCCAAGCACUUUUGUUGAUUUAGAAAUAAUUAUUUGUAAAAAUAACAUGGAAUUAAUAAUACAUACAAGAUUAAAUUAAUUUUGCUAUAUAUGUACAAAUAUAUGUAAAAAUAUUUAAAUGAGAUACUAUAUAAUAUAUUAAAAUAAUACGAUAUAAAGAAGAAUUUCAAAAUAAUAAUUUUAUAAACACAAAAAUGAAGUCCAUAAAAUAACUUUACAUAUACAUAAAAAUAUUAAAUGAAUUUUAAAACAAUAGGUAUUUUAAAUAGAAAACUCCAUUAAAAUAAUAUAUGUACAAAUAUUCACAAAAAUAUUUAAAUGAGACAUUAUAUAAAAUGUUAAAAUAAUAUGAUAAAACCAAUCUUAAAAUAAUUAUAAAAAAAAACAAAAUUAAUAAAAUAGAUUAACACAUAUAUAAAAAUAUUAAAUGAAUUUUAAAAUAAUAAGUGUUUCAAAUAGAAAGCUUAAUUUAAAACACUAGGUAUGCAUAGGUAUAUACAUAUAUAAAUGUUUAAAUAAAAUUUUAUACAUAAUGUUAAAAUAAUAUAAUACAAACUUCAAAACAAUGAUUCUUUUAAAAAGAAAAAAAAUUAUUAAAGUAUUUUCAAUACAUAAAAAAAUUAAAUGAAUUUCCUCAAAAAUAAUGAGUUAUACAAAUAGAAAACCUAAUUAAAAUAAAUUUAAAAUGAAUGGAGAUAAUGUAUAAAUUUUUGAAAUUGAACUGAGGACUAACACACAAUGCGCGCAAAUGCCAAGGGACUAAAGCUGGAAAUAAUCCUGGUCCCAAAACGCAGGGCUUAAGCACGGGCUGAAUUGAUGCGAUAUCCUAAUUCCUGGUGCAAUUUAAAAAACAAAUAAAGUAUGAAUAGGGCCUAAUUCAAAAUCAGCACGAAGGAGAAGGGUCACGCGCGCAAAUUCCCCAAUUUAAGCAAAGGCACGCGGAUCUGACCUGCUAAGCGGGUCAGCGCGCGGAUCUUUACCCUUUUGGAACAGCGUCGUUUUUAAUUUAGCCCUUAAACCCUCAUUUUUGCUCCUUUUUUCCUAUUUUCUUUUCCAAUUGCAGCCAACCUUUUAACAAACAUCUAUAGCCUAAAAUCAAUCUACUAGGGCUUCAUUUAGCAGCCGCCGAACCCACCAUUCAAUUUGAUGGUCGACGGUGCGCGAGCAGAGACCCGGUCUUACCAACAAAGGUCACCCAUGGAAAUCUGGUAAGUUAAACCUUCUCCUUUUCUUUCUUUGAAAAAAAAACACAAAUCAUGUAUUAUUAUCUCUAAAAACAAAGCAGAAAUUCAAAAGAAAAAAACAUUCGACCUUCGCCCCGAAUCUCUAUAUUUCCGAGAUAUUUUGGCAUUCAUCGGUGUCGAUUCAAGUAUUUUCAUUUUUUUCAUGCUAAUAUUGCGAGCAAAUUGAAAGAAACAAAAAGAAAUAAAGAGAUUUUUGGAUCACCUUGGAUAACUUUAUGACUGCUCUUUUCUAAUAUUUCGUAUGUGUAUUUCAGUGUGCGUAAAAAUACAUGGUACAGGUAAUGGCUUUUUGUAGCCUGGCAAAAAUACAGAUUUAAAAAUAAUAGAUAUUUUUCUUUUUCUUUUGCUAUAUAUUUUUUCUAUUUUGCUGCUUCUCGUGUGUUCUUUUGCAGGAGUGGUUGUACGAAAAAGAUGACUCUGGUGACGUGAAGGCCGAGCGUGGGGAUCUCACGUGGGAAGUCGACCCUCUGGUGCUAUUCCAGUGUAUGCCAGAAGCUUCUAGAGCUCUCGGUCUGCUGAACUUUGGGUUCUUUUUGGGUUCCAAAUUUGGGCCAUCUGAAGUUGGGAAAUUGGGUUUAAAAAAUGUAUCUGGGCUGGUAUAAACUUAGCUUUUAACUUAGUUUAUUAUUUGGGCCUGAUGGUUUGUAAAGACUUGGACUUUAAGGAAUUAUUAUUUAUUUAUUUUUAAUUUAUUUUUCUGGUUUUAUUGUGGGCCGGGCAAAUUGGGCCUAUUACACGUUCUUUAUCUUUGAUGUACCUUAUACUGCUUUGAUAAACAUAGGUUCUACACACUCCUAUGUAGCUAGUAGUAUUUCUGAAAAUUUGGGGAUUUCCGUUGAGAGCACUUCUAGUGAGAUAACUAUACUGAGUCCAUUGCGGUAGCCUAUUCGGGUUAGUAAACUUUAUAGAGAUGUUCAGUUAGAGGUGCAAUAGGUGGUAUUUCUGGCAAAUCUGAUGGAGUUACUGUUUGGGGAAUUCGACUUGAUUCUGGGUAUGGAUUGGUUGGUUGAGCACUGAGUCAGUUUCGAUUGCGUGACUAAGAGGUUCAUUCUAAGGACCAAGGAUGAUAAGAAAGUGGUUGUGAUUGGUGAGCGACGAAAUUAUCUAUCUAACGUGAUCUCCAGUCUUGUGGCUGAGAAAUUAGUUCGAAAAGGGUGUGAGGCGUAUAUGG